UGCAUGCAUGUGUAUGUGGCGUGAUGUGUACACAUGUUUAUUAUGAGAGUUGAGCUUUGCAUAAAUUGUGUUUGGUUGGUGCAGGUGAUACUUGCUGCCAAUGACAUGCCUUCCAUUAAUGAUGUCACUUACCAAGAGCUUGUUGAGAUUAUAAACAAGGUAACCUAGAAAAUGUUAUAGAUUAUCAUUUUUUUUAUAAAACAAUCUGACUCCUUAUCUGUAACUGUUUUCAGCUUAAGGAUGAAAAUGGAAAGCUUGCAGGUGUCGAUGUAUCUGACCUCCUUGUUACCAACUCUGGUAACGACCUGCCUGUAAGAAUAUAUGGAACCUGACUCUUCCAUCCAUUAUGGUGGCCCCAUAAGCUCUAUUGAUUAUCUUAGUUAGUUUUUAAUAAGCAACUACUUCUUCUCAGGUAAUAGAUUUAUCUAGUGUGUCACCAGAGCUAGCCUAUAUGGCAAGCGAUGCUGACUUGGUCGUCCUAGAAGGCAUGGUAAAUGCAUUUAUAAUUUAUUCACCUUGCACGUCUUUUUGUCUGAAGACCGUACUAAUUGCAUUUCUACCUUUGUGGCCUCUACAGGGAAGAGGAAUCGAAACUAACCUAUAUGCACAAAUGAAAUGUGACUCGAUCAAGAUAGGGAUGGUGAGCUGUUCUAUGCCCAUUGUAUAUUAUGUUAUGUUAUAUUGAAGAAUAUGCAACUUGGCUGCAGAUUAUGAUUUCGACACAAGUCAGUGUCUGGAUAUCACAAACUUUUCUCCUACUACGUUCCAGGUUAAGCAUCCGGAGGUGGCACAAUUUUUAGGGGGCAGGCUCUAUGAUUGUGUCUUCAAGUUCAACGAGACCUGAAGAACAAUGAAGAGCCUGAAUGAUAUGGGCCACACUUUUUUACUAUAUUACGUGCGAUGCUGCACUGAACAUGUGCACGUCCCGUCCACAAUGAUACGGAGUAGCAAGUAAAAGAAGUUACUAUUCGCUUCUGGUAGUGUCAGGGAGAGCGAUUACAGGAUUGUCAUAGGGCCAUUAACAUUUCUUUAUCACAUGUCUGGAAACUCCCCGAUUAUGUGCUUCUUUUGGGUAACAAGAUAGAAAGCAAAUUGAGCUGUGUAAUUGAUUUAUCUAUGUCCAUUUGCUAUUUGAAUCUGCAUUUGGGGUUGCCUCACAUAACCUCAUGGCAAAGGUGUGCCGACGAGGCACUACACGUUGACACAUUGCACCAAAUAAUUUCUGCGUAGUAGGCACUUUUUUAAAAUUAUGAUGAUUCUUUUAGGAAGAAUGACAAAGUGUCACGCCUCUAUGAAACAGUCCCGUGUACUGGGCCGGUCCAGGAGGCUGUCCUAUGAACUUUCGAAAUUUUGCUGGGUUAGCUUAUGUUGUGCCUCGUAAUUUAAGGGACGGUCCAUUUUAUUAACAUUAGAUGCUGGGUCCGUUCAAACUUUGGUAUAGGUCUGCCAACAUGUUCCUGUACAGGGGUGAGGCCUAUUGUCCUCGAAUGCUUACUGAUGAUGUAUGGAGAGGGAAGGCUUGACGAUUAAAAUUAAUAAUACUCUGUAGACUCAAAUCGAGAAUAAUGCAGUAUAUUGGGCUGCCCUGCCGAUAGAUACGCUUAAGACUGGUCAUAAGGUAUGGUAACUCAGAGUAGUAACAUGUCUUUGUUACUACUUUAAGUUACUACCUUUAUAUUAGGUAUUAACAUAUAUGUGAUGUCAUGCAUUGUGUCAUUUAGGUUGUAGACUCAUCUUGCUUUGGUUUGUGUGAUUGUCGUUGUGGUGUCACGACAAAUGCCAAAUGAUGGUUAUGUUGGGGCCGAUGGACGAAAGAGAAACCGGAGGAGGGAGGACGUGAUGAGAAACACGCACAAACAUACAAGCACACACGGAUUUAACCAGAUUCGGAGCCUUUUUGUCGAGGUAAGACUCCUACUCUUGUUUUGUUGUAUAAGCCGAGAUAGUAAAAUCUACAAUGGUGCUCCUUGAGCAGUUUUCUUGAGAAAGAAGAAGAAGAAGGGGAAAAUCCUAGAUGUCUAAGUGUGUGGAUCUCCCUCCUGGGAUGGGUAGUGCUCCUAUUUAUGGACCAUCCAUAUCACACUGACAUGUGGGCCAAAGGCUAACGUUAUCUUCUACGGGUCCCGCCGGGCACGCGCCUUGGUUUCCUCCGGAUGGCACCGCAGAGGACAAGACAACUUUAUUUUUCAUGGUGUCUGGCAACAAGUACUGUGACCACGUGCCGGCUUCCGUCAUUGAUUCUCUUUCGGUGCUUCUUUGCGCAGUCACCUGUCACCACAACGUAAGCAGCAACUGCUUUCCCGUGAUAAAGAUAACGUUGCUUUACUUUGGGCCAUGCGAUGAGGAUAAGACCAUUGAGACACCUCGGCGCUGGCCGAGAUCAGAGUACUCGUCCUUAUCCUGCAAUCACAUAAGACAAGAUAGACAUGCCGGCAUACAUUUGGUAUGCCGGCUUAGUAUUAGUUUGGCUUAAGGGUGCCGGCGUACAUGCCCGUGCCGGCUUUGCCUUUGUCAUCUCGGCUAAAGUGUGUUGUCAUGACCCUACCUGGGGUCAUCCCCUCGACACUAGUCCCCGAAGCUGUUGCGGUCCGGCAGGGAAAAAUGUCGGGCCACGACAGCUUCCCACGCACAAACCACCGAAGCUCACCAGGGCUUAGCCGAAAAGGAUGUCGAGACAACCCCGAGUUCUUCUUAGCCGAGAUCAAGUUAUUCUGACAUAUCGAGUCGGCGUGUUUAUUCAGCCUUGAGCCGAGAUUCUUUUCUCCUUCAUGGCCGACAGUAGAAAACUCGUUUCUGCCAACACUAGUGCCACCUGUCGCUUGUACUCUACGCUCUGCUUAAAUAACGAGAAGAUAAGACCCGAAGUACUGCCGGCGCGCCUUUUGAGGCGAGCGUGUUGUCCUAUCGGACAGUAAAUCCGGCAGGCCAUUAAGAGAGGAAUAUCGGUUUCCACGCGGAUCCUUAUCCUCCCGGAUUCGACGGGAUUUACGGCGCCACGCCGCGCGGUAACCAAGCACGUGCGCGUUAAUGGGGUUGAUUCCCCCAUGAUCGUGUGCGGCCCUUCCGUUGGCCACAGGGAUCGUGGGCGCGGAAGAUCCGCGCCCCAUUAGUUGCGCUGCGGGUAUAAAUAGAGGGAAGGGGCAAGGGUGAAAACCCUUCGCAUUCCCCCAGCAUUCUUGCUCUCCUCUGCCCUUCUCUGCUCCUCGCGCGCUCCGCCAUUGCCGCUAGCUCCGAGCUCUUCCGCUGCCGCGCUUCCUAGCUCCCAACAACCGAGCUCAUCGCCGUAUCCUCGCGCAUGCUCGCUUAGCUCUCCGCCGCCGCCUUCUUGCUCACUCGAGCCUUGCGCCACCGUCUUCUCACCAGAAAACCUAACCCUAGAUCUAUUCUCCGAGCAAUGGCCUCUUCAUCCCGCGACGCCGCCGCCGUCGACCCCGCUUCUCUGCAUACCGAGUAGGAGACAGGCUCGGAGCAAGCUGGCUGGGAAGGCUCCGACGUCUCCUCGGCGGACAUCGAGUGGCUCCGUCGCUCCCGGCGGAUUCCGGAAGAUGUGGAGCGCUGGAUCCCUGGCGACGAGAUCGUGCCGGCACCCGAAUCUGGUGAGCAUGUCGUCUUCCUUGCUCACUUUGAACGAGGGUUCGCACUGCCAGCUAGUGAUUUUACUAGGAAAUUCUUAGAUUUCUUUGGCCUUCUACCGCACCACCUUCGGCAAACGCCAUCCUUACUCUCUCGGCGUUUGUCACCUGUUGCGAAGCCUAUCUUGGCCUUUGGCCUUCCAUCGACUUGUGGGCCAAAUACUUUAUGUUCUGGCCCCAAGUUCUUCCCGACAAAGAGAAUCCCGGCGCCACCAAGCCCAUGACCCAGUGCGGUGCCGCCACCGUCAUACUCCGCCGAGGUUCGACCUUCCCUCGGCAAGGUCUUGAGUCCUGCAAGAAAUGUCUCAAGACUUUCUUCUACGUCAAGAACUCCUCUGACAGCGACAAGAUUAAUCUGCCGAGAUUCGUAGUCGGCCCUCCGGAGGAGAAGAAGAACUGGAAGUAUGAUCCGAAGGACACCCUUCCCGAGAUCAACGAGAUCCAUGCCGGCAUCCUCGAACUCAAAGCAGACGGGAUGAUGGCCGACGACCUGCUAGCCACCUUUGUGUACCGGCGGUUAUGCCCGCUCCAACGCCGGACACCCAAGAUGUGUUUCUACGGCGGCCAGUUCGACCCGAACCGGAUGUCAACCGUCCGGCUUGAGAAAGCUGAAGUCCGAUGCCGAGUUAAGGCGAUCGUGAAGACGAGUUUGCCCGAGCGCUGGGAAUGGGGUAUGCCGGCGUACAGCCGGCAUCGUCCGCCCCCGGUGAGUUUUUGUUUAUAUGUAUCUUCUGUUCUCAUCCGACAUAUGGUUAUGCCGACUUUCAUUUGACAAAGACUUAUCUUGGCGCAACUUGAUUCCUUUGUGUAGAGGUUUACCCUUCAACGCAACGAAGACAGGAAAUCCCCGGACAAACGCUUUGGGAGCCAACGCGUGACCAUCGACCAUGAAGAUCCGGACUCGGAGGAUCACAUGCCGGCCCCCAUCGCAUCGAAGGUAAUGACUUCCGACAUCCUCUCAUAGUUAUUAGAACACUUAUCAUUAAAAUCCUCACACCUGCAUUAAUCCGGGUACAACCGACUCGGACGAUCCCACCGCUGCUAAGGCGUCGGGUCCUGCUGCCGCUGCGGCGCCGGCCCGUGAAAAACACGUCGCCGAGAAGGAUCUUCCGAGAACUGUAAAGCGGAAGAAAGUCGCUUGUCGUGGACCAAAGCCGAAGCCCAUGACCGUUGGGUAAGGCUUAUAGCGUCUCAAUCCUUGAUGUCGGUUUUCUUCUUAACUAUCAUGGAAAUAACCAACUCUCAUUCCAGGGAGGCUCUGACAGCCACUCAGUCUCAGACGUGCAUUGCGUCUGAGAUCCCGGCAGCUCCAUCUCCCCGUGCCGAGCCUGCAACUCAUGCCAUGGGAGAGACCGAGACUGCUAUGGAUCCGACAUCCCCCGUCCGGGAUGUCGGCCCGAGCAUCAACGCUUCGAGCGUCGCACAAGCCGGGACUUUGGCAGCUGGGACUACGACAUCAACACUGUCAUCCCCACCGCCGCAGCCGCAAGCUACCCAACUAGCGGCUGCACAAGCUAGAAGAACUAGGAGCUCCGCUAUCCCGGCGGGACAAGCGCCUCCGAGUUCCUCCAGCUCGCAGUCUGCCCGGGGUAACCAGGGAGUUCCCCUCAGGACGACCAACGGGCAUAGCUAGGGGUCGCUAGGCCAGUUCGUAAUGGACUGGAACAGCGCCGAAAGUUACGAGGUGACCUCCGGCACCCUCCAGACAGCGCGGCAGAGCCCUCUGGUGGGGCCCGCACCCGUGGCGACUCCGGAGUCUGUGUCGGCCCGGAUGUUUCAGGCAAGGGUCGCCUUGUUUGAGUCCAGCCGAGCUGCCGAGGUACGAAAAAUUCCCUUGAAGUUUUCACCCUAUUUCUAGUAUCUAUACUCCUAGUCCCGGAGGUUUAGGGCGAGUAAGAAUUAGUCGGCCUAAAGCUUAUCUGAGAAAACUUCAAACACUCUGCAACACUUAAAAACUUCAAACAUCAUUUCCCAAGAUUCAGAACGGGUUUGGAAUAGUCGGCCUGAAGCUUAAAAACUUCAAACACUUAUUCCCCGAGAUUCAGGCCGGGUUUAGAAUAGUCGGCCUGAAACUUAAAAAACUUCAAACACUUACUCCUUGAGAUUCAGGCCGGGUUUAGAAUAGUCGGCCCGAAGCUUAAAAAACUUCAAACACUUAUUCCCCGAGAUUCAGGCCGGGUUUAGAACAUUCGCCUGAAGCUUAAAAAACUUCAAACACUUAUUCCCCGAGAUUCAGGCCGGGUUUAGAAUAGUCAGCCUGAAGCUAAUAACUGUUGACCUCCCACUGCAAUAGAAUUAAUUGUUGAUUACUGUUUUGCAGACCUGCAUGAAUGAGCGCACAACCACCUUUAAGGCCCUGCUGGCGAAACACAAUAAGCUGGCGGCGGAGCACAAGGCUUUGGUGGCCGAGCGCCAGAGCCAGGGUAAGUACAUUUUUACCGACAUAGAAACUACGUCCGAGUAUUAACGCACUGCGAAAACUGAUACGUGCUCUUGUUCACAGCCGGGGACGAUGCUCAAGUGUCGGAGCUCUUGAAGCGCGUCACUAAAGUGCAAGGUAUAAUCUUAUCCUUAUCCUAGGUUUCAGCCAUCUUAAACUCAAGCUUCUGUAACAUACGUCUGCUAAACAGAUGAGAAGACUCGGCUAGAAGAGCAGCACCGGGAUGAAGUGGCCCGGCUGAAGGCACAGCUCGAAGCGCAGACAGAGGUGCACAAGACCGAGGUAGGUCAACUUACCACGGCUCUCUCUACCCAAGCUGACGAGAAGAUCCGCCUAGAAGGCGAGGUGCAGAAAUGCAAGGAUCUAGUCGCCGAGGUCGAGACCCGCGCCACUGCUGCCGAGGAGGAGAAGGCCGAGAACGUCCGCCUGCUCAGCGUGUACGGGCGUGAUCUCAUCAGAGUCGACGCGAUGCUGACUAGUAAGUUGCCCUUGUCCAAAUCUUUUCCCUUUGAUCAUUUGGCCGAGAACAGCAAUAGGAUUCCGAGACUCAUUACUACCUUUUUGUCUUUGUCAGAAUUAUUUCCGCAAUCUAUCGAGACUGCUUAAGCUGCCGUGAUCAAGGCUCGUAAAAGGAGGGAUCCAGCCAGGGCAAUACCCUCAGAAUAUGACUUGGAGGAUUACCUGGUCAGCAUUGCCAGCCGGGUUAAGCCUCUGAAGUCUUUCGGGGUAAACAUGCUCAAUGCCGGCAUCCGGGCCUUCCGAGCUCUGUGGCCGAGAGAAGAAGCUCCGACCGGCAUCCCGGAAUUGGCAAAACGCCUUCUGGAGGUGGAGGACCGGCUGAAUGAGUGGCGGGAGUCAGCCGCUCGUGUCCGCGCCGACGAGGCGUUGUCGUUCCUAGUUUCUUGGUACGACGGCAUCAACCUCGACCUGGAGCUUAUCACGAAGCGGCAGGAGCGGGGCUACUCCUUUAUUCAAUAUGCCGAUGUGCAUAAAUUUGUAGAGGGUCCGGUGUCCGAAGCAGAUGCAGAAAUGGCCGAGGAAGACGAGGAAGAAGUCGACGAAGAGAUUGUCGUCGAGUCGGCUUCCACUGCAACGGACGCUCCAAGUUCUGGCGCCAACAAUCCUUCUGUUUCUUCUUAGGCAUGUCAGAAAAAAAUACUUUAAAAUUAUCAGAUCCCCAGGAUGCCGGGUGCAGAUGUAACCGAGUUGAAACACUUUUGGUUGUGAAGUACCAUACUUUUAAUUUGCUUAAGUCUUUUAAUUAUUGAGUUCCCAACCGAGUCCCCGAGUUUAUCUUUUCUGUUGGUGAAAUUUUAUGACUCCAGCUCUUUGUCUGCCUUGUCGGUGUUCGACGCAGGAAUCGCGAAGUCAUAGAACAACCCUUUCAAAAAAUUAAACUCGACAAAUUCGCUUGGAAAUACCCGAGACAAGAAGGAAAUGCCGGGUUAGGUAGAACAACGUGCAUCUCGGUUCGCUUCUUUGUUUAUUUCCGCAAUCGUUUUUCAUGUGCCCAGCCAUCUCGUACCCAUACUCUUGCUUGCCAGGAAGCCGAGUUACGGACAACAGCUAAGUCAUAGAGGGGAUUUUCAAUACCGACGCACUACUAAACCGACAUAAGUUUACACGACUAAGCCAUGCCGACGUACAAAUAGAUAAUUGCAAUACAACACUUAAAUAGCAUGGAAGUCCCCAAGUCCCUUUUAAGAACCCGGCGGAUAAUUUCAUUCUCUCAAAACAUUGAACAUAAGGGAAAAAAACGAUACAAAUACUCAUCUUUCAAGUAUAGAAUGGACGAAGCAAAACUACAUUCCAUGGCCUCUUGGUCUUCUCACCUGACCUGUCCAUCCUGUUUGCUUUGGGAUCCUGCGCAUCUAUAAGAUAGUAGGACUCGUUGUGUAGCGCUUUGCUCACAAUGAAGGUUCCUUCCCAUGGGGGUGACAGUUUAUGCAUGCCGACUGUGCGCUGCAUAAGUCGGAGCACGAGUUCUCCCUCCGGCUGUGAUAACGCCUUAGGUGUUGUUGAUAGAUGGCCGACCGAGAUAAAGCCAAUUCCCGUGCUUCUUCGAGCAGGUCGACAUCAUUUUCUCGGGCCUCUUUUACCUCGGCCUCCGUAUACAUGGUCACUCACAGAGUCAUGUUUAAUGUCGGAUGGUAAGACAGCUUCCGCCCCGUAUACGAGGAAAAAUGGCGUGUAGCCUGUAGAGCGAUUUGGAGUUGUCCUGAGACUUCAUAGCACAGCUGGGAAUUCAUCUCUCCAGCAUCCUGGAGUGCAUUCCAGUGGCUCAAUCAACCGAGGUUUUAUGCGGGCUAGAACCAUGCCGUUUGCUCUCUCAACUUGUCCGUUGGACUGAGGAUGCGCCACGGAGGCGAUGCCUAGCCAGAUUUUCUUUUCCGUGCAAAAUCGUGCAAAAGGUCCCUCGAUGAAGUUUGUGCCGUUAUCCGUGAUGACACUAUGCGGGUAAGCAUACCUCAAGAUGAUGUCUUUCAGAAAUGACACCGCGGUCUUGCCGUCACACUUCCGUAUCGGUUUCACUUCGAUCCACUUGGUGAACUUGUCAACCAUGACCAAGAUAUGUGUCAUACCCCCUCGCGCUCGCUUGAAAGGUCCCACCAUAUCCAAACACCAAACAGCAAAUGGCCAAGUGAUUGGAAUAGUCUUGAGCUCAGAUGCCGGCAUGUGAAUCUUGCUGGCAUAUCUCUGGCAACCGUUGCAUUUCCGAACCAUGUCUUCUGCUUCCUGUAGCGCACUCAGCCAGUAGAAACCGUGCCGGAAUGCCUUACCCACCAAUGUUCUUGAAGAUGCAUGGUGACCGCACUCUUCCUGAUGAAUAUCUCGGAGUAUCUCUUGCCCUUCUGCCGGCUCGACGCAUCGCUGCAAGACGUUAGUAACACUUCUCUUGUAUAGUUCGCCGUUGAUGAUAGUGUAGGCCUUUGCCCUUCUCUUUACCUCUGCCUCAUUCUCCGCCCGUGGUAUAUGAUGGAAUUCGCACCAUUAGAAGUGACCACUGAUCUUCUGAACAUGAAAGCGGUAUAGCGCCAUAUUGGCAUCGAAUGCAUCCCAAUUGCCGGAAGCUUGCUGGACUACCAAGUCCGAGUCGCCAAAGCAUUGAAUCCGACGAACUCCAAUCUCUUUUGCCAUCUUUAGUCCGUGCACAAGUGCCUCAUACUCAGCGACAUUGUUGGAUGCUGCUAAAUGAAUUUGCAGCACAUAUUUAAGUUGGUCGCGCUUAGGCGAAGUUAAGACUAUGCUGGCACCAAGCCCACUUUUCAUUUUGGAGCCGUCAAAAUGCAUCUUCCAGUAGCUAGUUUCAGGUGGCGGUGGCUCAUAUUCCAUCUCGGCCCAGUCUACCAGGAAAUCCGCCAGAGCCUGAGAUUUUACGGCAUCCCGUCUGUCGUACUGCAGCGUGUAGGGUGCUAACUCAAUAGCCCAUUUUGCUAUCCGGCCGCUUGCGUCUUUAUUGCUUAUGAUUUCCGAGAUGGGCGCCUCACAUAUAACCCGUAUCUGAUGCGCAUCAAAAUAAUGCUUCAGCUUCUUUGCCGCCGUAUAAAUGAUGUAUGCCAUCUUCUGGUAAUGGGGAUAAUUCUGCUUAGACGACCAUAACACCUCACUUAGGUAAUAUACCAGCCACUGCACCGAUUUGCCGUCUUCAUCUCUUUCCACCACUAUGACGGUGCUGAGGACUCGGUUUGUUGCUGCUAUGUACAACAACAUCGGCUCUUUUUCCAUUGGCGAGGCCAAUAUCGGCGCUGUAGCGAUCAUCUUCUUCAAUUCUUGAAAGGCUACUUCUGCCUGUUGCGCCCACACAAAUUUGUCAGUUUUCUUCAUCAGCUGGUAUAAGGGCAUUGCCAUUUCACCCAGCCGACUAACGAAACAACUUAGCGAUGCUAGGCAUCCAGUGAAUUUCUGCACAUCUUUGAGACAUUUCGGCAGUUUCAUUCUCUCUAUGGCGGCGAUUUUCACAUGGCUCGAUACCAGGAAUCCGAGUAGCUUCCCUGUCGGCACACCGAAUGUGCAUUUGGCCGGGUUUACCUUCAUUCGGAAUCUUCUUAGAUUUGCGAAUGUUUCCCGGAUAUCAUCUAGCAGCGUGGCGCUUUCUUUGGUUUUUAUGACGACAUCGUCGACAUAUACCUGCACAUUUUUGCCGAGUUGAUCGUGCAAGCAUUUCUGCAUGCAUCUUUGAUAAGUAGCCCCUGCAUUUCUCAGACCAAACGGCACAGUGCGAUAGCAAUAAGCCCCGAACGGGGUGAUAAAUGAUGUCUUUAUUUGAUCAUUAGGGUUCAGUGGUAUCUGGUGAAAACCAGAGUACGCGUCUACUAAGGACAGCAACUCACACCCGGCAGUGGAGUCGAUCACUUGAUCGAUCCGAGGUAACGGAAAAAGAUCUUUGGGACAUGCCUUGUUCAGGCUGGUGUAGUCGAUGGACAUGCGCCACACCUUGGCAACAGUUGGGUCGUCUUUUCUUCUUCUCGACCAUGGCCGGGUUUGCUAGCCAAUCGGGAUGCAAUACUUCCAUGAUAAAGCCGGCAGCUAGACGCCGGGAUAUCUCUUCCGAUAUGAUUUUCCUUCUGUCGUCGGCGAAGCAUCGAAGGGGCUGCUUCACCGGUCUUGUGUCUGGUCUGACAUGUAAUGAGUGCUCAGCCAGCUCCCUCGACACACCCGGCAGGUCCUGAUUUGACCAUGCGAAGAUGUUCCGAUGCUCACGGAGGAAGCGUGUGAGCUCGCCUUCCUAUUUCAUACCCAAGCCGGCACCAAUGAUCACGGUGCGGUCCGGGAACUCACUGUCGACCUGUAUCUUCUUCGUCUCCUUGGCUGCCUGAAAAGCCACACUUCCAUGGGGAUUGGUCAUAGCGGGCAGGCCAAUCUGUGUCGCCUGGGCCAACGCAAUAGCUUCUUGUAACUUCUUCUCGCCAGCGAUGACUAGUUACUCGGCCAAAGCAGACCCUGCUGCCGCGCACUCCAUCGAACACUUGUAGUUGCCAGUAAUGGUUAUUGUACCAUUUGAUCCCGGCAUCUUCAUUUUCAUAUAACCAAUGUGGGUAGUCGCCAUGAAUUUGGCCAGUGCCGGUCUGCCAAGUAGCGCAUGGUACGGACUGCUAAGAUCUACCAAUUCGAAUACCAGAUUCUUAGUCCGACAGUUCUCCCUGGUGCCGAAUAAGACGUCAACCCGGAUCUUGCCUACCGGAGCACAAGACACUCCCGGCACGAUGCCAUGAAAGGUAGUCCGGCUAGGCUCAAGCAUGUUUGAGCAUCGUGUCCCGGUACAUGAUGUUUAUGCUGCUCCCAUUAUCAAUGAGAACCCUAGUGAACUUGACUUAAUGUCGGGCCCGAUGAGUGUCGGGUCAACCACCAGAGCAUAUCCCCUAGGAUUUGGCAUAACCUUGGGAUGAUCUGUCCAGUUCUAGUUGAGCUCCUGUUCCGACCAGUACAUAAACUUUGGAACUGCCAGCAUCACAGCAUUGACUUCUAUCUCUCGCCCGCGCUGACUCUGCUUGUCAGUCGGCUCCGUGAUGAAGAUCAUGUAGCUUUGGUGAUGCUCCUUGUACUCAUUUCUUCCGGCAUACUCUAGGAUACCUUGGUCUUCCACUUGGUUGACAGCAUUGUUUGCCGGAGGGGGUUCCUGGAUCUGGGCGUUAGCGCCUGUGAGCGGUGGGGGAGGGGGCAGCCGACUUGCCUCACCCUUAUCGGCCCGUUGCAUCCAGCUGCAUUGCCGGGUUGUGUGAUUGGCCGGUUUGCUGGGAUUAGUCAUGUGAAAACAACAAGGCUGAUCCAGCAUCACCUCGAAUGUAUACUUCUGCUUAUCUUGGCAGGGCUUCUUUUGCUCUCCCUUCUUGACCCACUGCUGAUUUCCAGUCUUUUGACGCUGGCUAGAGCCGGCAUCAGGUUGAUCCUGAAUAGCGGCAACAUGGGCUGGCCCGUACCGGUAAUCCGGCCUGUCGUCCCUUCUUUUGUUGUGGUGGUCUUGAUGAUCGUUCCUCCGAAAUGCCCCGGCAGGAUUGUAUGUCGGCUGCUCCCUUUGCGGUUCUACCGGCAUCAGUGAUGGCUGAGUUGGAUCACCGAGCGCAUACAUGUCGGCGAUCUUGAUCAUCUCAAACAGAGUUGCCGUCAUUUCUCUUUGCAGCUUCUGCCACAACAUGCUGCCAUGCCGGCAUCCUUAGGCAAACCAUGCGAUGGCCUGCAACUCCACUAUCCCUUCACAGGAAUUGCGGAGGUUGUUCCAUCUUGUCAGGUAAUCCCAGUCAUUUUCGUUGUCUCUUUCCUUGCACAUGGACAACUGCUGAGUGCGAUUUGGCCUCUUGUAAGUGCUAGUGAAAUUGCUGACAAAAGCUUCUUCAAAAAGAAGAAAAGAAAGAAGAAAAGAAUAAGAAGCCAAACAGAAGGCCACAAAAAGAAAAUAAAUUUUUGCAUAUGCUUAAUCAUUUUGAUAUGACUUCCAAUAUGUGUGUUGAUUAUUUGCCAAACAGUUACUUACAUGAUUGUUUGAAUACUAGUGCUUUGACUUGCUCUAAAUUCCAGCAUAUUGUAGUAACUAAUUUGGAUACUAUUCAUUAUUAUUCUCCAAUGUUGGGAUGGUGUAAUGGUAAGCGGUGCAAACCGAAUGCAAACAAUAUUGUCAAUCUUCUUGCUGGAAUGUUAGUCAUCACAAUUGUUUUACUAAUUAUCUCAUGAGAUUUUGUUAUCAAACAUUAAUUGUGCAAGAAAGAAGAUGUAUCAAGAUGGAUGACAUAUACAUAUACAAUGCACACACUUUGUCUAUUUUGUUAGUUUUUUUUCAGCACAAACGACGCCGAGGACGUCUUUCCUUUCAAGAAAGGGAGGAUGAUAUGGACAUGUUAAUCAUGGAUAUGACCUUUCGUACCCUCAAUUCUAUACUAUUUGAAAAGAUUUAAAAUCAGGUGAAUUCAAGUAGUAAUUGUUUUCAUUGUCAUAUUUAUGAAGAGGCGGAGCUACUACUAUCUUGUCUCGUUUUAUUACGUAGGCAUCUUGUCAACUUUUUCAAGUCCAAGGUCAAGAUGAGAUACGAUGGAGGCCAACAGAAGGUCCAACAAGAAUCAAGCAUCCAUAUAGCGGAGAGGGAAGGAUUCGGAGCAUGCUAGAGAAAGAUAUCACGAAUUAAAGUUGAAUCCGAUUCGGGUCCGAGCUGUCAGGAGACCUGAAUUUGUUUUAAUCACCCAGACCGCAUCCGGAGUCCAAAUCAAGAAAACAAGUACUUGUUGGAAAGGUAAUUACAAGACCUUUCCAACUGAUCCGGCCCCACAAGAAUAUUAGACGCGUGCUAACCGUGGCAGACAAAACAAGCUGACGGAUCUGUUUUUCUGUUUUCUAAAGAGUUGUAGUUUGUUAGGAAAGUUAGAGAUAGAGUUAGAUUUCGACCUCCUUACUCAAGGUGGACGAAAAUCUCUCUCCCUCCUCCUUUAUAUACCCCAUGAACCCCCCUAUAGUGAGUUUUUUAUUAGAUAAAGUUCAGCCAUCUUUGCUACUUUCGUGUAAUCACAUGUGUCGGUUAGACCACCUGUUUUACCGUCGUCAAGACUCCAAUUUAUCGUCUCGUUGAGACAUUGGAUUGAUAUAGUAUACUCGCAAUUUCAGAUUGCAUCCGCUAUUUAUCUUGUUCUUGCUUGUUUUUCGAUUGCUUGUAGGAACAAAGACCUUCAUGAUCAGGUUGAUCGUGCCCCCGCGUGAUCUAUAACCCUCUGGAGUUGCUGUCUCGAUUGCUAAGGCGCUGCCUCCUAGGCCGUAGUCGGAUCGUCAAUGUCAUCUCCUACCCAAAUCGAGAGUUACCAAUCUCAUCGAAAGAUCGGGCCCCGCCGACCCACAUCAGGUGGUAUCAGAGCUUAAGGUUGCUCGGUGAGAUUUUCUUGUUUAUCCACAGUCUAGAUCAGUUUUACCUAUCAUCCAGAAAAAGCCAAAAAAAAUAGAUUAGUUACCUUUGUCCUAAAACCAAUCUGAGCCUUGCAAUUUUCACAUUAGUAUUUGCAUUGUUGAAUCUUUGCUGCAUUAAUCGUGUCGAGUUGCUGGAUUAGAUUGGAUCGUUUUUCAGACUUUUUCUACUAGAUCGAACUUGCUUUUGGUUUUCUUGUUCUUCGUGUGACGCAGGUUCCCUUCAUCAAUCUUUCGCUGCCAAUGUCCCUGCCACGCCACCACCAAGCCUACAAUCCUUCGCUGCCACCAUCAUAUCCGCCUAAAUCAAUUUUGUUUCGCAUCGCAGUUGUCGUCCACGCCGAUUUCGAGUCCGGGUCCAAUCAGGAGAAAUUUUGGAAAGUGUUUUGGAAUAAGGAAAGAGAUCGAGUUUUGUUUGGAGAUAAAGUUGUUCGGAAAGUUGUGAAAAAAGAAAGGAAAGGAAAGGAAAGGAAGGAAAGAAAAAAAAAAGGAAAGAAAAAAAGGAAAAAAAAAGGAAAAAAAAGAAAGAAGAAUUAGUUUCGGAUCCGACCUCGAGGAGAAUUAUAGUUCCGAGUGGGUUUGAGCCGUGUUCAGUAAAACGGACGUACCGUUCGCAUACCAACUCGGAUUUGGAUGUUCUUGGACUUUUUGUAAAGCUCACGACGAGGUGCAUCAGGAAAUGUCCAGGGCGAUGCCCUGCACUUUGACCCUCAAAUUCGGAUUCUAAGAUGGACUUUCGGAGCUUCCAAGUUUCUGCAUCCGUUUUUCGGCGUCGUUGCAGCCCGGUGUUUUUCAGUUUUCUCCACCAUCCGACAUCCGUUUUGAGUGAUCUUGCCCUUGCUGGAAAGCUUUUGUCGAUACACUUCUAACCCAUAUUUUUCAAUAUUUUUCUGUAUUUUCCUUACUGCAGCCUUUGCUGUUCUUCGACAGACCGACGUACAGUUUUUCGGUCCUUCUUUUGCGUGAGUUUCUGGGGUUAAAAAAAGAAGAAAAGAAUAAGAAGCCAAACAGAAGGCCACAAAAAUAAAAAAUAAAAAAAAUCCCAGGGAUUUACUUGUUGUGCCAUCUUUCAUUUGAUCUUUCUAUCCUACCUUCUUCAGUAUCUAGGCUUAGAUUAUUUCUGUAAUUCGUUCUUAUCGACUCCAGCAGCUAGGACUAGCAUUAUUGAUCAUUUUUUCAACUUUGCAUUGCUGAUUUGAUUAUUUGCUUAUCCUUGCUACUCACAAAAAGCCUUCAAGCUCCACAGAUUCUACACUUAAGUUGGUUUGUUACCGAGGCAUCGAUACAUUCAAUCUUCAGAGGGCUUGAUUACGCCGCUGGCCAUCACCUUCCUGUUUUGCAUGGUAAGAACUUGUAAGACUUCGAUCUUGAGCUUGAGAGUUGAGCGACUUGUAGCCACAUCCUAUUAGUUGAUAUAACAUAUUUGUGUGAUUUGUUUCUUGUUUUCUACUAACCAUGACAGGACUUACACGAAGCAUCGGAACUAGUCCGAUGCUAUCCCGUGACCGCAAUGAGUGCUUUUCACCACGGCCAUCCUCCACGUCUCUUGUUGACAAUGCCACGGCAAUGGUACGAAACAAUCCUUCUAAUACAAAUAAAUUGGGUGUACCUUUCUUUGAGGGGAAAAAUGAUGUUGAAACAUAUAUACAUUGGGAGAUAGCUUUAACUGAACAAUUCACUUGCUUCCAUGUACUUGAUAGUCGCAAGGUUCAAAUUGCUAGUAGUAAAUUUACUUUUGCUGCUUUAUCUUGGUAGAAUGAGAUAGUCGGAUCGUCAACGUCAUCUCCUACCCAAAUCGAGAGUUACCAAUCUCAUCGAAAGAUCGGGCCACCCCGACCCACAUCAGCUUAUCUCGGCCUGAGUUGACACUCUUGUACGUUUGCCACCAGGUGCGGACGCUUGCUUGUCAGCCCGGCCAUCAGCGCCCGCUGCCGAGUGAAUGAUUUGAGACGCACCGGGCUUGCCGUGCAAUCUCAUGUGUGCCUCAUUCUGCUCGUUAGCUGUGUGGAGCAACUCCUUCACGCGCAACUGCUGCAGCCGGAGUGCCUCUCCCGUGUGAUUCAGCAACUCUUCGGCCGCAGCCUCGGCGGCCCUGAGAUUCUUGACAGGGGUGUUGUAUUUCGGCUUCAUUGCGGAGGCAAAACUUGCCGACAUUGCGGGCAUCCCCCUGCCAUCUCUAGCUAUCUCAGCGUUCAAGUUCCUGCCACGAUUACGCACUUCUCCAACUCGGCUAGGGUUAGUCAAUGCGGUAGAAUUGAGACCAUGGGCUUUGUUAUACUCACGGAGCGAAAUAUCAAGUUCUUACCGAGCGCGAGCCACAUCGACAGCUUCCUUCAGCAGUUUUUGGCGCUCCAACUCCAACUCUGCCUGCAGCUGGGCCGGGUUUGCGUUUGACGCCACCGGUGCGGUCAGCCGUUCGAUGGCGGCCUGGAGCUGAGUCGGCUUUGGCGGCAGAGCCGACGUGCCGGCUUGAGCAGCGACAUUAUCCGGCUUCUCCAAGGGGAACUUCGUCGUUCUGCCGGAUUUGCUUGGGACCGCGCCACUCUCUGCGGUGCCCUUGCCAGCAUCGACGCCGUGAGCCAUCACCAUGACCUCCACACGGUCGACAUGCCGGCCGCGAACCGUGCAGACAGCGGGGGGAUCUUCGGCCACCACCACCUACUCUAGGUACCUGCAGGACCGUCAGUAGCGACAUAAACCUCAUGCAUGCCGAAGUUGAUGAAGCGGCCCGCGCAGGGAAACGGUGCGUUGUUGAAGCAGCCGACGUUGUUGUCGAUGAAACCAAGAGAACCGAAUCUCUGGACCAAACUGGAGACCACGCGCUCUCUGGUGAUGAGAAAGCUUCCCGUCCGGAUGAAACCUCCGGCCAGCGCCGCUGCUGGCCCCACGGUGGGUGCCAACUGUCGUGGUGGUGUCACGGCAGAUGCCAAAGGAUGGCUUAUGUUGGACCCUACCUAGGGUCAUCCCCCCGACAGUGAUGUUAUGAUAACAUAUCUAGUUACCACAAAUCUCUCUCUCCUCAUUAAUAACAUGCCACAUCACCAAAUUUGCUUAGUUGGCACUUAUGGUACCACCUUUGUUACUUCCACUAUGACUAGCCUAACGCACAAUCCGUGAGGAGGGAUUUGGGAAGGAUGCUUCGUCUGCCCUGUCCAGUCGCGAUGAAGAAAAUGAAACGAUCGUCCGUGCGAGUUGACUCAAGUUGAAACGUGGAUCUGUUUUUACUUUGAGUAUUUUUUGUCUAUGUGUAAACAACAGGUAAAAUGACUUUGAACCUAUAUUAAAUCUGAUUUGUACUCAACAAAACCGAAAUACACGUUACGUAUACUGGUGUCUGAAUAAUGCUUGAUCUCUAUAGUUGGUUUGAUUUUAGAGUUAGGACCAGUUCUUUUCGGCUUCUAAAACAGCUUCUAGGUCCCCAUCAGCUCAAACCGAAAAGAACUCAAAUCAAACCAUUCUAGGAGCAGCCCAACACCCAAAAUCCUUCGUAUGAGAAAAAGCUGGUCCAGAGCAGCUUCCUGGGCUUCUGAAAAUUCCACCUUUCCUUACCCUUACAACACACCAUAAUUACCUUGAAAAUGCCACCGCACGUUCUAUCUCUUCCCGUACCGAUUCUUGGGGUCUUCGGCCAGCCCAACUCCUCGACCCACUCCUCCUCUCGUGCGACGCCAUGGUAGCUAGGGUUCCUCUCCCGUCGUCGCGCCGCUAGAAUCCAGCCCUGCCGCCGCUCGUGCAGAAGGCGGCUGCACCGGCGCCGCUCGCCCGCCCUGCACCGGCGCGGCUCGCCGCCAUCCACCGGCGCCGCUCGCCCGCUCUCCACCGUCGCGGCUCGCCGCCUUCUACCGGCGCCGCUCGCCCGCCUCCCUCCUCAGAUUCAGCGCUACAAGUCAAUCCGCCGCCGGUCUUCUUUUCCUCCUCCAGCGGACUGCCGCCGACCGAAUCAAGUUGACGAGGAAUUCUUCCCCCGAGGCCCUGACCAAGGCAAGGCAGCCUUCCUCCGGCUCUGCAUCAUCCCAGGCUCUCAACGCCGUCCUCCGUCUCCGAUUGGAGACUGCAGACUGAGAGAUUUUCUGUUUUUAUUGUUUUUUCUGCGAUAUUGAGAUUGUAAUUUCCUCAGUCUAAGAUUGUAUGGCAUGCAAAAUGUUAGCAGCUUGAAUUGAGCAUUUUUUCUGGAUUUUUAGAAUUCAUUUGUCGUAGAUCUCAUUUUUAUAGCGGGGGUAUUAUUGACUUUUUAUCAUACAAGUCAGAAAAUAAGCCAGGAGAUCAGAAGAAAAAAAAACUGGAAACUAGUUUCUUGGGAGCUUCUCCGCACCAUGGUUUCCGUGGACAGAGAAGUUAAAGCCGUUUUUGGAGAAGCUGAAGCUAAAAAAAACUGGCACUUAAACUGUUUGGUAAAUGAUGGAGAUGAGAUGGGGUUAUAAAAAACAGUUUUCUUUUAUUUUCCUGCUUAAUUUCUGUUUCGGCUGAAAAGGGCAGACAAGUACUAGCGAUGGCGUGAGAAAACACAAAAUAUAUAGCAAAAAUAAUUUGUAUGUUCAUUAAUUGAGGACCGAGCGUUUUUUUUAGAAACUUGUAUUUGCGAUGAAUAAACGUGAGGGUGGAGAGGGUCAGCUGUACGUUGCUCCUUCGAGCGGGUGAAAUCGUAUUUUACUAAUAUUUUUUUAUUUGCUUUUCAUUACUAGAUCACAGUGGCAGGGGUGAAUGGUCAAGUCCCUGUUCACCGUCCAAAGUAAGCCAGCUCUGCCAUUUGCGGGCCGGCUGUAAGCUACGCUAAUUGAUUGUAUCAGGCCGUGAGAGACUUGGACAAAAGUAAUGAUAAACUUGUGCUGGCCCAACGAGUACGAGUUGAUACUUGGGCCAACCUGCAAUCCGGUACGCAAUAAAAAAGCAAGGUGUCAGACCCAAUCAGCGAAAAUACCGGGCAUACGGGUGAAAAGCGAGAUGAAUUCUAGCAAUGGCUGGUGAAUAGCAUCUGUCGGGAUGGAUAUUUUGAUGGUUGAGAUACAAAGAGGCCUGGAUCACGGGUCCUAAAACGAAUUUUCGGAAGGGAUAUGCCCUGUACUAUGUAAUGUUGAGAUCAAUUAAAGAAGCUUAUGUUUCUCUAUAUUUCAUUAUUUCUCUGAGUCCAUUUUGUUUUACUUUUUGUGUGUGAUACUGUGAUUAGGAUCUGCUUGAGCUUAGAUGUUGGUGUUAAGGGGCGGGCCUGUCAGAAGAGAUUACACCUGAUAACCUAACCUAAAUGUUCUUGUUGUAAUUUUUUCGAGAAAACGCAAAACCUUUGCGUCUCGAGGCAUUGAUAGAAAGAAUCUAUGUACAAGACCACAGAGGGCCACACCCGAAAUACAACACGACGCGCCUAACUAGAAAUCGCCGGCAAAAUCGCUCCGAGUCCUACCGCGCCCGCACUUGCCCAACACCUAGCAUCAGACUUGAUCAGGUCCAGGAGGGAGGCGAGGUUGGGGAUCGCAUUGUCGAAGACGGAGGUGUUACGAUGCUUCCAAAUAGACCAUGCCGUGAGCAUGAUCAGAGAGGACGUGCCCUUUCGCGCGGUGGGAGGGUAAGAGUGGAUGGACUCCUGCCACCAAACCGAAAGAGACGCCGACAACCGGUGGGGUGCAGGUGGAUCGGAUCCACGAAAGCACCUGAUGCCAAAGAGAGCGGGAGAAAGGGCAAUCCACAAGAAGGUGAUUCAUGAUCUCCAAGGUCUGAUCGCAGAGCAAGCAACGUGGCGCGUGCGACAGAUCGUGGCGCGCCCGUCUCUCAGCAGUCCAGCAACGAUCUUGACAAGCCAACCCGAGGAGGAGCCCAGGCCUUCCAGCUCAGCUUCCAGGUGUCGGAGGUUAUCCCCCCAUGGAAGAGGGCCCGGUAGCACGACUUGGAAGAGUAUUGGCCAUCGGUCGUCCAUCUCCAGAAAAGGACACAACCGAGUCCGAGAGGCGAACGGCGUGGGUCUUCCUCCAAAUCUGAAUGUACUACCAAAGAGCCAACGGUCCAAGAGCUCCCUGGAUAUCACGAAUCCAACGCCUAUCCGUGAGGGCCUCACACACCGUGCGGGACGAGAAGGAAAAGGUCUGAAGCCAAUUCAGAAAUGGCCUGGCCAUCCAUCCACCGGUCCUCCCAGAACGAGGCUGUGGUACCAUUGCAGACAACCAUCUUGGUAGAGGCAAAGAAGAUGCCAUGCUCCAAGGGAGAGAACUGGAGGUCCAGUCCAUGCCAAGGCUGAAGGGGAUCAAAUCUCAUGCGCCAAAUCCAACGAGUACGCAGACUCACAGCCAAACGGGCAAGGUCUGGGAUACCCAGCCCAUCGAAACACAACGGGCGACAACACUUAGCCCAGUUGACAUGGCAGUUCCCAGCCCUAGCCUCGGCCCGUCCCGACUAGAGGAAACUCCGAAGGACCUUCUCGACCUUCUUUUGCACCUUUCGAUACAACCCCAAAACCGUCAACUCGUGAAGGGGUAUGGCCAACAAGACCGACUUAAUCAGAUUCAGGCAUCCAGCCUUGGUCAUCAUCCCAGCGUUCCAAGAAGGGAGACGGUUAGCAAUCUUAUCAACCAAGGGGUUGAAAGCCUCAGGAGACGGCUUUCGGAGUGCCAAAGGUAUCCCGAGGUAUCGAACCGGAAAGGGGGCAAGCUGACAGCCCAUCGUAGCUGCCACCUCCGCUGCUUCCUCAUCGGAACAACCAAUCGAAGAUAACGAGCAUUUGGCAAAAUUGACGCACAGGCCCGAAGCAUGCCCGAAGAGAUCAAGUAUGCGGCGGACCGCCCACAACUCCAGGCGAUCAGAGUGACAGAAAAUGAUCACAUCAUCAGCUUAGAGGGACACGGUAGUGGAUAAAUGGCGAGGAGCGAGUGGUCUGAGGAUCCCCAACUCCGAGGCCUUCGAGAGGAGACGAUUGAGUGUGUCGAUCACCAACACGAACAACAUGGGUGACAACGGGUCUCCUUGUCGUAAACCUCUCCGAUGCCAAAUCGGAGGUCCCGGCUCCCCAUUCAGCAGGAUCCGAGUACUACCAGUGGACAAGAGGAUGGCUAUCCACUCACGGAAUCUAGCCCCAAACCCCGCAUGCCACAACACAGCAAUAAGUAGGGCCCAAGAGACAAAGUCGAAAGCCUGUGCAUUGUCCAACUUAAGUAUGACGCGAGGCACCCUAUGGCGGUUAAGGUACCGGGCCGUCUGCUGAACCAACAUGAAGUUAUCAUGGAUGCACCGCUUCCUAAUGAAGGCGCACUGGUUUUCUCCCACCAGAGUGCCCAGCCUCAGGGCCAACCGAGAGGCUAGAACCUUGGCAACCAACUUGGCGAAGAAAUGUAUCAGACUAAUAGGUCGAUACUCCUUCAAUGUCGCGGUGCCCGACUUCUUAGGAAUCAGCACCAGCAAUGCCUGGUUCAAUCCUUGGAAACCGUGCCCAGACAUCGAAUGCAACUUGCCGAAGGCAUCCAUCACAUCAUAUUUCACCGUGGACCAACAAGCCCGGAAAAACUCAGCUGUAAAUCCAUCAGGCCCGGCGCCUUGCCGGAUGGCAUGAGCCUCACCACAUCCCAAACCUCCUCCUCAGUGAAGGGGGCAUCCAGGUCAGACAGGUCGGUCCUUCUGGAAUCCAGGAACUCCAGGUUGAGAGAGAACUGACGAUCCUCCGAUUCCCCCAACCUCGAGGAGAAAUGGUCAAAAGCCGCCUCAGCCAUGCCCGCAUGCUCAGAAAUGACCGUUCCAUCAACCGACAGGUUAUGAAUCAGAUUCCGCUGUUUCCUAAAGGAAGCAAACUGGUGUUGGCAUCGCCCUCCUACAACCAGGAGAUCUUGGCCCGUUGUCGGGCAAUGGUGCGCUCAAGCAAGGCCAGCCCCAAGUAGGUCUGCUUUAGCCUAGAACGCAAUGCAUGUUCCAGCGACGAGAGAGGCCUUGUCUCCAUGGUGACAUCUAGUUGGAAGAUGACUUCCCGAGCAACCAACAAUUGGCGCUUCACACAACCGACAUGCUUGUCACUCCAGCUCAUCAAACGCUUUGCAGAAAGCUUUAGGCGGGCAACCAGCCGUCGAAAAGGGUCCGACAUCUCCUCAUGGGCUGUCCAAGCGUCAACCACAACCUUGAAAAAGCCUUCGAUCCGAACCCAAAAUUUCUCAAAUUGGAAUCGCCUACCACCGGCCGGACGUGGCACACAGUCCAAGAGAAGUGGGCAAUGAUCAGAGAUCACCGUAGAAAGGCAGCGCAACGAACAGGAAGGAUGGGACUCUUCCCAGUCCACCGUGUAGAAGACUCGGUCAAGGCGCACAAGGGUGGGAGCCUCCUGCUCGUUAGACCACGUGUAGCGACGACCUUGUAAGUAGAUCUCCUUCAGCUCACAGUCAUUCAGGAAGCGUCGGAAACGUCCCAUCAUGCGGCGAUGAAGAUUACCAUUGUUGUUGUCCUCAGCGCGAUUGAUGAGAUUGAAAUCGCCGCAGAUCACCCAGGGGCCCGGGUGUAGAUCACGCACCUCCCGAAGCUCAGCGAGGAACACGAUUUUGUCCACAUCCGCUUGAGGGCCAUACACGCAUGUCAACCACCAGGGUGGGCUCUUGUUGUAAUCAGAAAAGAAAAUGCAGGAUCUCCGGAUAUUCCAACGUCUGGUCAAGGUCGGAUUUCUCCAUCUGUGCGUGCAGGUGCAGUUGCCGGUGCAGGGCGCGUGAUGUGUUGCUUCGUUGGCGCAGGUGCCGCGCGCCGCGCCUCCCUCAGGUAUAAAUGCCGCAUCGUCCCCCGCAGUUUUUUGAAUUUGAUUCUUAGCGACACACGAAUAGGGCCCUGCACGGAGAGAGACGGAGGAAAGAAAACACAACACCAAGCUGCAUCGGCAGGCCAUCCGGCGACGUGGGACUCGCUGCUGUGAGUACUUCGCGACCGAUCGGAGUCGAUGGGCAGCACGGCGGUGAACUCCGACUACGGCGCGACGCGCGAGCUGUCCGCCCUCCAGAAGGAGCGCGCGCUCUAUCGCCCUGAGCUGCCGCCCACCAACCUCCGAUCCCUGCCAACUUUUGGCCGCGCCGAAUCCCCGGGUUCAAUCGGAUCAGCGCCGCCACGACAUAUGCCCUGCCCGAUUCCUUGUCACAGCGCUUUAAUUUCUCCGGCCGGAUCGAUCUUGUCGACGGGCUGGGUGGGGGUACUAGUCAGUGCGCACAGUGGCUAGGGUGAUUCAACGGGUCGUUUUCUUUCAUUACUACAACUUUUGGUGAAUCUCUUUUUGCGUGUCUGCAUGGGAACCAGGGAACCGCGGUGAGGGUGGAGUACGGCGACGCGACGAUCGCGGCCGACGGUGCGGACGCGCAUGUGAUCGGCAACGCGUUCCCCCACACCUACGGCCAGCCGCUGGCGCAUUUCCUCCCGGAGGCGGCCAAUGCGGCGGACGCUGCAAUCAUAACAGAGCACCCUGUCGUCAGGUAAACAUGUUCUAGACACGUUAUUUUUAGGGGGGGGGGGGGGGGGGGGGGGGGGGGGGGGAUUUCUAGAUACGUUCAAAUUUGUGCUGGUAUCUAAUCCCCAUGUACAGUUUUCUUACGUCUCGAGUAGAAGCUGUAGACUGUCGAUAUAUUGUUUACGUUUCAAUGUUUUACUAUUUCAAACAAGUUUUAUCUCAUGAAUUUAAUUCUCCAACAUUUAUCUCAUGAAUUUUGACCGUGCCGGUGACUGCUGCAAAGUUUUUGCAGUCCAUUGCAUAUACAUCUCAUAUUUAGUUGAGGCAAUAUGAUAUUUUGAAAAGAGGACGAGAGAUACGUCAAUAGUAUUAAGUACUCCCUCAGAUCCAUAGUAACUGUCGGAAAUUUAGUACAAAAUAACUUUGCACUAAAUUUUCGACACUUAUUAUGGAUCGGAAGGAGUACUAUUCAUUGAAACUCUUGCUUUUAUAGGAGACAGAUGAAAUCUUUUCGAGCAAAAAAAAGAGACAAAUGAAUUGAUCACAACUUUCAUAAAAUUAUGAUUGUUUUCAAAUCAUAGAGCAUACUGUAUUCAUUAAAUUUUCCUCGUAUAUUCUCAAAACUCGUACGUUAACAAACAUGAGAUGAAGAUGUAAUGAGUUAUGGAUGUGAAUGCUCAUAAUAAAGUUGCUACUUUGUACCAUAAGAACAGCUUGAAGUUUACACUAAACAUCAAUACUAUGCAUUCCAGCAUUAUCAUAUUUUACCAUUAGCCGGUAAUUCAGAAAGAGAGCGAAAUGCAAACAUGUGUGAUAAUCGCAAACAGUAGUAUGGUAAUAAAUUCUUGCUAUUAGAUAGAGCUCGAUGGGAUCAGCCAUCCAUAAAUUCAUUCGGUAGUUGGCUCUGAAAAUUGUCCUGAGAUGUCCACAUAUUUUCCUGUCAUAUUUUUUAGUAACCUGGAGCCCGUACAUCCUUUAUUAACUUGAAUGCUCAACAAUUGCUCAACAAUUCCGAGAUGCAGGGUUGGUGUCGUCUUCAGUGGUAGACAGUCCCCAGGUGGGCACAAUGUUAUAUGGGGACUCCAUGAUGCUUUAAGUGCUCACAACCCAAGUAGCAAGCUUAUUGGUUUUCUUGGUGAGUGGAUGGGUUUAUUGAAGAAAUCAAUUAUGGUUCAGUUAAUGGAUUUGUAGCUUUUGUUAACUUUUGGAGAGAGGGACAAAUGAUUUUCUUGUGUUGACUUGAGGCCCAAACGGCUAUAUAUACUCCCUCCGUCCAACAAAACAUGUCUCAAGUUGGUCAAAAUUUGGAUGUAUCUAGACAUGACUUAGUGUAUAGAUGCAUUCAAAUUUAAUUGAAGUUGAGACAUCUUUUAUUGGAAGGAAGGAGUACUACAAAUGAAGACUAGUCCUAAACUAGUGUGGAAUACCACACGCACUCUAAUACACACAUAACAAUUUGGGUAUUGCCUCGUACUUUCGGGUACCUACCCUUACAUAUUCGGACAGCACCUUCACACACUUGGGUGCUAUCCUCACACGACGGUCGAGUGCCCGCUCACAUACCCUUAAACCCCCCCCCCCCCCCCCAAACUCAAGGAGGGUGAAGGAUAAAAGAGCCUUGAGUUUGAAAGAGAGGGAAAGGAACAACUGCUAAAAAAAGGUCCAAGUCUUGAAAUCUUCAUCUAGAUGUAAUGCCCCGAAACAAAAUAUGUUGAUGCAGCAACAAACUCCUCCACAAUGGUAAUUUAAAGCCUUCACAAAUUGUACUUCAGCUCUUCACACACAACUUGGCUUGGAGAUGUUAAGACCAACAAGAACAUGGAAGGCUUGUCAAAUCAGCCGAUGAGAGGUAGGGACUCAAUGAGUCAAGAAGAAAUGGCCAACCCGUCCAGAAAUCGUGAAGAUGGCGAUAUAAUAUUCUAUUGAGUUGGAGGGAAGAGGAGAGAGCAGGAGUGGGUUGUUAACUAGUAGCCAGCUGGAGAACCAAGCAUAGCUUGGGCCAGCCAGGUGUGCUGGCAGCCCACCAGAGUUCGAUCCUCAAAGGUCGCAAUUCAGUGUCUCACUUUGUAAAAAUUAUAUAUCUAUAUACUGUCGGACUGCAAUCGCGCAGCUCUUACAGUUUAAAGUAAAAAAAAACUAGUAGCCAGCUGCAACACAUGCGGCUAGGCAUUCUGAGACUGCAAAGUAGUACAUUUUUAUAACCAACUAUUAUACAUGCUAGCUAUUGUUUUAGUUAAAGAUGAAAUGGCAAAACCUUACAGCCAGCAGCAGGCUCCACCUUCACAUAGCUGAUGUAUUUAAUUUCAUCAUUAAUUCAACCCUCCCCUCUCUCCUCAGCUACACUUGCUUCACCCAAUAGGAUGGCAGCAUUAAUAUUCUUUGCAUAGGGAAAGUAAGAGAUGUUAACUAUAGAACGAUUAGUUAGGCUUUGGCAAUCCAAAUGGAAAGAUAUGGGAGAAAACUUUUAUAUCUACAUGAACAGAUAUAAAGAAAUGAAGGGAUUAAUGAUGAAAAACACAGAAACGAAAGUGUAACGCACAGAUAUAAUGAUUCCUUCCAGAAAACAAAGUUAUUCAAGUUUGGAAAAUCACAGAGGAAGUUCUUUCUGUCUAUCAAUGCAUCGAGACUCAAAAGCUUUGGAAAUCAAAGAGGAAGUUAUCUGUGCUUAUUUUACUGAUGUAUUUCUUUUUUUUGUGUGUUAAAACAGGAGGAACUGAUGGCUUGUUUGCGCAGAAAACUUUGGAAAUCACAGAGGAAGUUCUUUCUUCCUAUAAAAAUCAAGGUGGUUAUGAUAUGAUUGGUCGGACAAGGGAUCAAAUCAGAACAACUGAACAAGUAAAGGCAGCGAUGACUACUUGCCAGACUUUGAUGUUGGAUGCUCUUGUAAUAAUUGGAGGUAUUAUUCUGUUAUGAUAAUCUUCUGAGUUUUAGCUUUAGUUUUGAUACAUGUUCUGAAAGUCUUCUGUGCUUUUUGUCAGGUGUCACAUCCAACACGGAUGCUGCUCAGCUUGCUGAGACUUUUGCCGAGUCAAAGUGUUCAACAAAGGUGUCAGAAAAUUGUUUAAAAUUCUAGAUCCUCGAAUCUAAAUUCCUUAUAUAUGUUGGUCCACAUUCCUUAUAAUGCAAAUAGCCUGAGACAGAUUAUUUCUAAACAGAUAGUUGGUGUUCCUGUAACUCUGAAUGGGGACCUGAAGAACCAGUUUGUCGAGACAACUGUUGGUUUUGAUACGAUAUGCAAGGUAAAGAACUGUUAUGUCAUACUAUUGAGUCGCUCCCUUCUUCUUUCCAUAGCUUAAUGUUAUUUAGUAUUUACUACUACCAUUUUAUUGAUGCACUAUCUGCCUACGAUCAUUGACCCGGGAUAAGUCGCGUUUUGGUAAUCUUCUUGUGGAAGCCAACUGUUUUUGGUUUUCAUUAGUGAAGAGGGAGUGCAAUAGAGUUGCUCAUGAACUUGCUCAAUUAGCUAAGUGUGGUGCGACUUGAUGCUAGGAUCAUAUAUCACUACUUCUCUUAAUUAUGCUAACAUGAUACCAUGGUUUCGUCAUUUACAAUCUGAACUUUUACCUUCCUAACAGGUGAACUCGCAGCUCAUAAGUAAUAUCUGCACUGAUGCUCUUUCUGCUGAGAAGGUAAAACAUAUGGAUGGUCAACUUACACCUUAAUAUAUUGCUGGAUUCCAAAAUACUAAUUCAGAUCAAAAGAAAACCAUCCUUCUCCUUUCUAAAUACUACAGACCCUGUUACUGUUUCAGGCUCAUACCUCGCAACUUUGUCUUCAUUUUAUAAGGAUGCCCUGAAUUCCCUACAUUAUCUCUGAAUUUUGACACGAAUAAAAUUCACGUACACAUUGUAAAUUAUUAUCUCCCUCAAAACUUAAUUAUGUUUUUCCGGCAGUAUUACUAUUUCAUUCGGUUGAUGGGGCGGAAAGCAUCUCAUGUGGCAUUGGAAUGUGCUCUUGAGUCACAUCCAAAUAUGGUUAGGAAACCUCCUUUUAUUUUGUACUGACCUGGUUGAUCGACACUACAAACUUACUCAUUUUAAUCUGACUUAAUAAUGUCAGGUUAUUCUAGGCGAGGAGGUUGCUGCAUCAAAACUUACAAUUUCUGAUAUCACAAAGCAGAUAUGUGAUGCUGUCCAGGCAAGGGCUGAAAAUGGUAGGGAUUAUGUGGUUCUUACAAACUCUGUAUUGUAGUGUCACGUCAGUAUUCAUAUUACUGGUGCACAUAAAUUAUCAUGCAGUUGCACUUAUUCCUGAUGAUCAUAAUAUCUUGUGCAGAUAAGUACCAUGGCGUUAUGCUUAUUCCUGAGGGCCUUGUUGAGAGCAUUCCUGAACUGUACGCUUUGCUUCAGGUCAGUAUGACCACCUGAACAAAUGGUGUCUCUUGAAAGGUGUACUGAGCUUAGUUUGUUUCUGUAGGAAAUUCAUGGGUUACAUGAUAAAGGUGUUUCCGUUGAGAGCAUCUCUUCUCAUCUUUCGCCUUGGGCUUCUGCCCUAUUCAACUUUUUGCCUCAAUUUAUUAGGAAACAGGUUAGUAUUAAUUUUUUUCUUUACAUUCAUAAUUCCAUUAUCUGGAAAAGAUUUUGUUGCAUUAUUUUUUGCAUCUGUCGUGCAGCUCCUCCUCCAUCCAGAAUCUGACGACUCUGCUCAGCUUUCUCAGGUACUGUAGAAUUCAAUCUGUAAUUUUACCUCAUCCUUUUUUGUUUCACAUUUGUUCAGACAACAAUUUCUGUAUAUUCCAGAUUGAGAUCGAGAAGCUUCUAGCCCAGCUAGUUGAGACAGAAAUCAACAAACGGCUGGUGAGCAUGGUGUAGAUAUCCCAUCAAUGAUGACUAAUACGUAUGGAUUUUAAGUUCACUUUUACAAUCUUGGAUUUUUGGUUUAUUCAGGAGGAAGGCACUUACAAAGGAAAGAAGUUCAAUGCAAUUUGCCACUUUUUUGGUUACCAAGCUAGAGGUGCCCUGCCCUCAAAGUUCGAUUGCGAUUACGCCUAUGUAAAUUCGACUUCACUUCUCUAUCUUAUGAUCCAUCUGGUUAUUCUACUUAAUGACCUCUUAGUUGUUUGGUUCCAGGUUCUCGGUCAUGUAUGCUAUCAUAUCUUAGCUGCUGGUCUGAAUGGCUACAUGGCCACUGUGACAAAUCUUAAAAAUCACCUGGUCAGGUGGAAAUGUGGAGCUGCUCCUAUUACGGUCAGCAUUGCAUUUAUUUCUACAAUUUCACGAUAAUAUUCCUUUAAAAUUAACAAAAUCAUCUGAUACAAGUUUAUGUUAAUGCAAAAUAAAUCAUAACCAUUUCUGCAUUUCCUUAUGACCAGUCUAUGAUGACUGUAAAGGGUUGGUCGCGUGGUCCUGCUGCCACUCAAAUUGGGAAGCCAGCUGUUCACAUGGCGAGCGUGGAUUUGAAAGGAAAAGCAUACGAGUAUGUCAAUAUGUAGUCUGAUAUUUAAGAAGCAUCUUAUUAACUCACUGCAGUCAAAUUAUUUUUAUAUUCAACCAUUUGUUUCUAGUGAAACUUCUCUCUGUUCCACUUAAUAAAUCAUAGACAAGGAGACAUGUUCGUGUAUUUACCAAAGAAAUUGUCUUGUACCUUACAGGUUGUUGAGGCAAAACUCGUCCAGCUUCUUAAUGGAAGACAUCUAUAAGAACCCUGGACCACUGCAAUUUGAAGGACCGGGUGCGGAGGCAAAGCCUAUUUCAUUGUGUGUCGAAGAUCGGGACUACAUGGGAAGGAUCAAACAGCUGCAGGAGUAUUUGGAGAAGGUAAGCACUUGAAUUAACCACCUUGUUAUGUAUACGACUACUAAUACUAAGCCCGUUGGUUGUCAUUGUGCUUGUUUGCAUGUCAUGUAGGUGAAAUGCAUCGUGAAGCCCGGGUGCUCGCAGGAUGUCCUCAAAGCUGCACUGAGCGCCAUGGCACAUGUGAUUGAGUUGCUCACUAUCAUGUCUUCUCCCUCAUACAGUGGCCAGGCGGCAACCAUCUGAGAGCAAAUUCGAAGCACUUUAUAUUUUUUGGUCGGCCAUAGAAACCGCGAUCUUGAUAGGUUAUCUGUCCAUCUUCUAAUUUCGUCCUGGUUCUUUAGAAUGGAAAGUGUGGGAGUUUUUUUCUUUUUUUUUGAGGAAUGCCAUUUGGCAAUUUAUCUGAUAAAAUAUUCUCAUCGUUCACCAACAUGCCCAUAAUAAAACUAGGGAUUUCAUCGACUCAAAUACAGGAAUUACCAGACUUAAAAGCAUCCCUGGCAAGCUCAUGAGCUACCUGAUUAGCCUCCGUAUUACAAUGCUCUAAAGAAGAUACAUUAUCAAACCCACUCCGUAAGACGAGUCUUCAUAAAUGGUAGCCGAUGACGGUGGAGAGAGAACCUUCUCCAUCCAUCGUAGUACCGAUAUGGAAUUAUUGCAUUUGCCAUGAAUUUUCUGCAAUCCAAAAACUCAUAUGAAAGAUGCACACAAUUUCUAGAACAUGCCUUGAAACACAAGGAGUCAGAGAAGCCCCCAAUGGCAUGGGCAGUUGGCCGUGGCGUUUUGCUAGGGCGCCACGCCAAACCGUCUGGGCCACUGGUAGCUCACGUGCCAGCGAUUAUCUUAUAACCUAGGUAUGCGGCAAAUCUAAAAUAUAAAUUUAAAUGUCCUGAAUAUUUUUGUUAGCUUCUCAUGCAUUUGUAUGAUGUACCGUACCAAACUACCUCUACCAUUGGACAUUAUUAUUCUUUAAAAGUCAUAAUUCUAUUGCUCACCCCGUGGUGCAAAUUUGGUUUUUUUUUUUCGAGAAGGCUGAGGCCAUAUAUUAAAAUCAAGAGUAAAUAUCACAAAACUCUUAGUUUCUGACGAACUGUAUCACAAAAGCACACCUUUUCGUUUUCUUUUCACUUAACCCGUAUUUUUGGACUAAUUCGUAUCUCACAACCUGUAAUUUUGCUGUCAACGCUGCUAAUAGGGAAACUGCCAUGGGGGCCCACCUGUCGGCCUCUGAAGUGAAAUCUUACUUACCUUAGUAACACCUGCCCUGCCCCAAGCCCCUCCCGCGGGUCUUCUUCCCCAAGACCGGCGGAGCGCCGCCCGCGCCAAUCGCCCUCAUCCUCGGCUGCCCCGAGCGCCCCCACACCGAGCUCCUCCUCCGCCGACCGCGCCUCGCCGUCGACUCGCCUCAACUGGCUUCCUCUUCCCCGACCGACCCCGCCUACGAAUUCGUGGCGAGCUUCUCCUUCUUUCCCCCUAUUUUCCCCCCUCGGAUCCACCCCCGUAGAGCUCUGCCGUAUUGGACGUCGCCGACGAGUUUCUCCCAUGAGCGUUCUGCUCCCCUGCGCCGUCCAUGGUGAGAGCAUUCCAGCCCAAAUCAGGCCCGCAGCCCGGCCGCACCUGCAGCCCCCUGCCCCGCCCCGCCGCCCUGCUGCCCCGCCGCGCCGCCCGCUCGUCGUCCCGGACGGAGGCAAGGCCACCACCGCCCGUUAGUUUCCCUGUUAGCAUCGUUGACAGCGAGAUUUAGGGUUUUGCGAUACGGUUUAGUCCAAGAAUACGGGUUAAGUGAUAAAAAAAAACAAAAAGUGUAGUUUUGCGAUACAGUUCGUCAGAAACUAGGGGUUUUGUGAUAUUUACUCUAAAAUCAACCAACCCUUACAGAACCAUCUUUAAAAUAAAAGAAAAUUACACACAAGUUCUCGUAGGUAAACAUUGUUGUCUUCCUCCUGCACUCGCCGGUGGCGCGCCGUGAGCGAAACUCGAUGCUUCCUCUGGACCUCCGAACCACGUCGGAGCCAGGAAACCGUUGUUGCCGUAGCAGCCGAAAACUCACUGGUCGAAGCCAGAAGACGCCGGCGACAGUGAUCUGAGAAAUGGACCACCGUCCAGCAGAAGAAGACGAUGAAGAGGGUUGGAUGACCAUCCUAGAUCCGGCCAGAAGACCUGGCCGCACUAACUUCACGAUGAGGUCUAAGCUUGCCGAGUCUCAUUGAUCGGAAAAGGAACCAAUAAAUUGAUACGCGUAGAAGACCUGCAAAGCACAAACACAGAACCAGAUCCACCACUCCAGAAGAGUAGCGACCAAACGUCCCGCACUCCUCGACGCCACCGGCAGGAUCGCCAUCGACGAGGUGGAUGAGGAGUUGAGAAAACCUUAUUAUUAACCCGCACAAUGCCGUCAUCACCACCAUAGCUCGGCUGCCGGUUGACCAAACCCUAAAUUUUGAAGACUACUAAAACACUAAACGUAGGGCCGGCCGACCGGGAGACAAGAUCGAUCUAGAUCCGGCACUGGUGGCGGAUAGGGCAGACGCCUUUUCUCUAUGGGGUUUCAAAUUUGGGAUUUGGUAGCCAGGAGUUGUGUGGCGGCAAAUUCCCGUCUGAUGUAGCCGAGCUGGGUGCUGGUGAUUUUGCCAGAUGCCACGGUGUUUCUUUCAGCAACAACAACAAAAAACAGCAAUCUAGACGUAGUGGCUAGGGACGCGGUGGAGCGGCCGGCCACACGAGUUCGACUCCCAUGGACCGAGUUUUGUGUGUCUCACCCGGGGUUUUAUUCCCUUGUUUUUCUGGCCUCAUACGUUUGUUCUUUAGUGCUAAUGCAACGGGCCCAUUGUCGCUGUGGUGGCUCUGAGAAUUUAGUGUGCCUGUAAUAGGUAUAAAUUGUAGUUCUAGCUUAUGCACUAAGAGUAGUGUGGAGUUUCAGAUACUACAGAAUCAAGCCCUUAAAAAAAGCAAUCUUUGUGUCCUUUUUUUUAGGGGAACUUUGUGUCCUUUUCUUAGAACAAGCGAUCCAUUCUUCUGUGCUUUUGUUUCGAGGGUUCACACAUGGAGGAGCUUUAUGGGCCGGAGGGUUGCUCUUAAGUGCAUUGGCCUGGGCUGUUUGGGCCGGCCCGUUAGCUCCACUCGUUCUUACCUUCGCUGCAAGUAUCCAUUCGUCUCCAGAGUCUGAGAGUCCAGACCUUUAAACCCCGUAAUAAAACCCUAGAGACUUCGCGAGACGCCGGCGUGAAAUCCCCAAAGCAAAACCACAACAAAUCCUGCGCUAUGUCGUCGGGGUCUCUCGCCGUCCGGCUACUCCGCCGCGCCACCUCCUCGUCGCAGCUCUCCACAACACUCACCCGCCGCUGCGCUCACUCCUACGCGGCAUCUCGCCCACCCUCUCCGCUCCCUCGUUUCCACUCCGCCGCCGCCGCCGCUUCCUCUCAUUCCGGGAUCACGAUCCGCCGCUUCUUGUCGUCGCAGUCCCAGGUGUCUUCCUCCAAGGUCUCGGCGGACGAGAACCUGAGGCGGGUCAUCGACUCCGAGAUCGAGUGCGUCGUCGAAUCGGAGGAGGCCUCCGCGCAGGUCUCUUGGCUUCCUUUCCUCUGCAUUUCCUUUCGUUGCUUUGCAAUAAUAGUCCGAUUCCAUUUGUUGGCGGUUGAACGUUAGUCUUAGUUCUCCCUCAUACAGUGCCACAGUGGCCAGGCGGCAAUCAUCUGUGAGCGUUAGUCUUAGUUCUGUGGAGCGCACUUCCACGAACGCAGAAAACGCACACGUAGGCCCAUGAACUCGUGUUAGUGAUACAGAUUAGUCCAACAAUGGUUUAAGAAGGCUAAAAAAGGAAAUGUGGCAUGAUCCUGGACCGCGAUGUAUUACUCUUCUGUGAAUACCGGAAGAACCUUGAUAUCCUGUGUGUGGGGAAAAAAAGAAACAUAAAUUUUUGGCUGGUUACAGUUGGACGCUGAAGUACUCGCGUUAGUACGUUGAUUUAGUUGAGUACUGAUUGAAGGCUGUUAGUCUUUCAUGUGGUGUGACGCUCGAUCAUAUAUUUCUAGAUUGAGUACGGGUGUCACGCCGAGAUGCAAGAAGGUCCUUGGAUGGAGAGUGGGGGGGGAAUUAUCUAGCUUAAGCUAUUACUCCCUCCGUCCCAUAUUAAGUGACUCAAAUUUGUCUAAAUAUGGAUGUAUCUAUAUAUUAAAAUACGUCUAGAUACAUGUAAUAGGAAGUCACUUAAUAUGGGACGGAGGGAGUACAUAAUGAAUGAAUCCCCAAUCUCAUGCCGUCCAGCUGUCAUACAGUGCCUGUGCUCUUUCAGCGAAGUGGGCAGGUCAAUAGUGGGCUUCUCCUUCUCAUUGGCGGCCCAGUGAGCUCGCGCCAGCCUUCUUGCCUUUCUUGCUGCUAAGUUCUUCAGACUCAGUUCCUUCCUCCUCUGUUCAGUACCAAGGAAAGACGUGACAUGUCGGAAAGUAAUACUGCAUGCUAUGCCAGAACCAGGGUUCGUUGCUCCAGCACUUUCGUCCCUCUUCCUUGAGCUGGCCGCAGGGACCCUGUGCUACAUUGUUCACACGCUAUAGUCAGUAAUAGUUGCUGUUCAAGAUAAGGAAACCAGGAACCACACAAAACUUUCAAUUGUAGUGUUUGCGGAGAAAAGAAAGUAAUGAGCUUACUCGUAAAAUAAAGAUUUUUGUAAGAAUCAGCUCGAUAUCCUGGUCUGUGUUCAAAUGCUUAACUUUGAUAGGUCUAGAACAAAAGCUGAAUCUUCAGAGAUGUAAGUACUCAUCUUCUGAUUAUUGAUGAGUCAGUUGUGACAUUACUAGAUGAAGUUCACGAAUAUGUGAAAUGUAUGUCGUUGGUCCCAGUUUUACAGAAAGUUUAUUUUUAUACUGUUGACUAUUAGGUGUGCUCUGAGCAAUGUAGACUAAGCUAUAUAGUGACUAUGAAUAUUGAAUGCUGUGAUGUAAAUGUGGGUAUCAUAGACCGUGAUGUCUGAGACUCAAUACUUUGUUAUGUUAUUAGUUCUUAGCAUCUUGACUAUCUCCUAAUUGGUAAAAAAACUCUUUGAUUUUACUUGAGAAAAAUAUUUUAUGCUGUACACAGUGUUCUCUUGAUUUUUUUUUAAAUGCCUUAACCAUAAUACUUCCCAUUUCAUUUGCAAACAGCAAAUUGAUCCACCAGAAGACUUCCCAUUUGAGAUAAUCGAUAACCCGGGUGAUCAGUCCGUAAUCCUUAAAAGAGAGUUUGCAGGAGAGACUAUUAAAGCUACUGUCUACACAAACUUUGAUGCCGAGGAAGAUUUGAACAAUGAUGACUCUGAUGCUGAGAAGGACGAGGAAUCUUUUAAGCCAGCAAUUCAGAUGGUUGUCACUGUUGAGAAACCAGAAGGCCCAAUCCUGGAGUUCGACUGCAACUUCAAUGAUGAUGAACUGGCAAUUGAGAGUAUGAGGAUGCUGAAUCGUGACAAUAAUGAUGCUGAGAAUGUAUACGAGGGACCACCAUUUUCGUAAGUUCAAGUUUUCUUAUUUACUUUAUAUUGUUCCUUCAAUGUCAACCAUCAUAGUAAGCUUCAAGCAAGAGCUGCUGAAUAGUAAUGAAUGAAAAUAGCAUCCCCUUCAAGGAAGAGCCACAAACUUUCUGCUGUUUAGCCUAAGCUUUGUAUUUCAUUAUUGUGUAUGCUUCUCCCGUUCCUGAUCAUUAUAAUUACUUGAUACUCUUACCUGGAUUACUAAUGUACUAUUACUGCUUCUUACUGUUUUCUUCUGAUCUUAAGUUUCUCAUUUUAAUACUACAGGAUUCUAGACGACAGCUUGCAGAAGUCAUUGCACAGGUAUCUUGAAGUGAGGGGAAUCAAGCACUCACUGCAUGACUGGCUGCACGAGUUCAUGAUGAGCAAGGAUGAGAAGGAGUAUGUUGUUUGGUUGAAGAACAUGAGAGACUUCAUUAGGAAGUGAAUGCCAUUGUCCUUGAUUUUGUUUGGGUAGAAAAACGAGGUUCUGGCACCCACUCUUAUAUCUGGUCAAGGCUAAGCUCUGGCUUUAUGUUUUGCUGGACAGUUAUCUUUAGAGAAGCACUUUUUUUUCUGUUGUACUAGCAUAUCUUUGUCCUAUGAUUCGUCGAUAUAUGGUCAUUCUAUUAAUGUGUUUUCAUUCGUGAGGAUAUUGCUAACCCUUCUAGAAAAAGGAUUAUUUACUGGAAACCUUCUAGAAAAAGGAUUAAUAAGUGACUGAGCUUUGUUACAGUGGUGGGGGUGGUCGAGAAUUUGAGAUAUGAAUAUAUCAUUGCCCUUGCCCAUAGUGGUGUGAAAUUAUUUAUGUUAAACAUGCAUUGUGGCAGGGCAUUUGAUCAUAUGGCCCGUAUUACUUGGGCAUUAAUUUAUGCCACAAUUUUAUUCCUGUUCUUGAUAAUUUGCCCUCUUAAUGUACCUGAAUCAUUUUCCAGGUUCUUUGGCAUGACGACACAUCAUUGUUUCAUGGCCUGGGGCAACAUGAUCGUAUCAUUGUUGGAGCGUGCAAUCCUUUGUUUCUUACCUACUGAUCCACAUGGGGAAAGAGACUGUUGUGUAAGCAAUAGGUUCGUUCUAUCGAUCGGGAUCAGAUGAACGAGGUUCUAAGUUUGACUAAACAAUUGCGAUCCUUACUUCUAGUGGCUACAUUGUCUAUGGACGCAAUGCCCCACUAUUGGCUAGCUUAAGCGUUUACUAAAUUCUUGAUUUCUUCCGAAUCAAGGACGGCGUCUAACCGAACAACGGAUAUACGUUGAAUGUCGUUAUCUAAAAUCUUAUAUCGAGCUGCCUUGUAACAUGUUCCCAAGGCUUAACCGGUUAACCCAGCACCAAAUAUCAAUUCCUUUUGUUUAUUUUUAAAUCUCAAUUCUCUUUACUUUUUAAGUGAGUUCUCUCAAUCUGCUGAACUCUCAGAUCGAAGGCACUUGAAAAUAGUCUACUCCCUCCCACCAGAAUUACUUGUUCCAGAUUUUAGUAUAAACCGUUAGAAUUACUUGUUUCGGAUUUUAGUAUAAAGUUGCAGCGGAGGAAGUAUAAAAAAGACACUUAACAAUAGAACGAAUAUACGCAGUAGUCACUACACGAUCGAAUCAGGAACGCGUGCGAAAGUCCAAGGAUUUUUCUCGUGUGUGUUCUACUUUACCGUUCCCCGUUUCCGGAAUUUCGCCUAUUCCAUUCCCACCGCCGCCCGCCCGGCCGGCUCGCGAGGGACGGUGGUGGGGGCACCUGGCGUCGGCAACCUGACAAGCCCUGCCGCUGGAGCAGCCACGUCGACGGGUGGCGACGCGCACACGACACUGCUCUAGCAUGCUCUACGCCACAAGGAGACAGGAAUCGCCUUUAAAACGCCGGGCACCGCACCGCACAUCCAACGGCUGACGCAGCACCGCACAAGAAACACGAGCGGAAGGAAAGGCAAGCAAGUAGCAGUAGGAAGGAAGCAGCAGCACCUUGCCUGAGUGCCUGACGCAUUUCCCUCUCCCCGUCUCCGCGGCGCGUAAGCAAGCGGCAAGCAAGGAAGGAAAGAAGUAACGCCCGCCCGCCCGCCCGCCGGCCAGCUAGGAAGCGGCGGAGACCGGGAACUUCUUCCUUCAUCCUCGAGCUCCUGCGAUAUGGGCGCGACUGGCACGCUGGCGGCGGCGGCGGCGGCGGCGGGAUCAGAGGAGGAGGAGAAGGUCGAGAUGGAGGGCGGGACGGCGGCGGCCAUGGUGUUCCGCGGCACCAACUACUCGCUGCCGCGGACCAUAGCGGCGCUGGUGCUGUGGCUGGGGGGAAUCCACUUCAACGUCCUCCUCAUCCUCGCCUCGCUCUUCCUCUUCCCGCUCCGCGUCGCCGCCUUGUGCGUUUGUGUCCCACCUUUUUUUUUCAAUUGCUCAAACACCUGCAUUUUGUUUAAGUUUUCUUUCUAGGAGGAGGCAAAAAGGAAUCCCACCCCCACUUCAAAAAUCCCUUUUCUUCUUCUAUUUUAUUCUCCUCGUGUCAAUGGAUGAUUUUGUUUUUUUAUUAAUUCGCGUCACCCUCAUCGGCCUACGCCUUCCUUGAUGCAGGGUGGUGGCGUUGCAGCUCUUCUUCAUGGUCAUCCCCCUCAACGACGAGGACAAAUGGGGCCGCAAAAUCGCCAGGUUCCAUUUCCCUCUUCCGACGGACUUCCUUUUUUCAAUCAUUCCCGAUAGAAUUCGCUCGAAUUUUUCUUGGAUGUUGAAUUGCGUUGUCGUGCAGGUUCAUAUGCAGGUACGCGAUGGGGUAUUUCCCGAUUAGCCUGCAUGUAGAGGACUACGAGGCCUUCGAUCCCAACAGGGCUUACGGUGAGUUCUACCAAAUCUCUUUCCGUUUAUAGAUGCUAUGAUCAUCAUCUCUAGCUCUGGACUAGAUUCCCUAGGCUAAUUCGGUGUCCAUCUGACGACUCCAUACCGACUUUUUGUUGCCGGGGAGGGAACUGCGGAAAGAAAAGAGAAUAGCAGGAAAUCUGUUAUGUUUGUGCUCUACUGAUUGCUGAUAGGUGUGCUUUAUUUGCAGUGUUUGGCUAUGAACCACAUUCUGUGCUGCCCAUUGGCGUCGCCGCCCUUGCUGAUCAUGUUGGGUUUAUGCCUCUGCCUAAACUCAAAGUCCUUGCGAGCAGUGCGGUAAGUCCCCUGAAUUUCCUUGAAGCAUAUAUAUAUGUCCCUGAUUAUUGGAAUUCCGUCAGUUAGUAGUCUGUCUUCCUUAUUCAGUUCGUGGUUCAUUUGUGUUAGGUGUUCUACACCCCGUUCCUGAGGCAAAUAUGGACAUGGUUAGGACUUAUUGCUGCAACAAGGAAGAAUUUCUACUCAUACCUUGGAGCUGGUUAUAGCUGUGUCGUAGUGCCUGGAGGUAUACAGGAGAUUCUUCACAUGGAUCAUGAUUCAGAGGUUUGUGUUUAUGACUUGACAAUGAGUUUGUCUUGUGUCAUCUGUCAGCCAUUGGCUUUCAGCGAGUGGAAGUUAUCUUAUACUCCUAGCUAAAUACGUGCGUUGCUACGGAAAUAAGAAUAUACUACCUCCAUUCCCAAAUGUAAGACGUCCUAGCUUUGUUCUAAGUCAAAAUUCUUUAAGUUUGACCAAGUUUAAAAAACUAUUAACAUCUACAAUACAAAUAAGUAUACCGUGAAAAUAUAUAUCAUGAUAGAUUUAGUAAAGCUAAUUAGAGUUAUAUAUGUUGGUAGAUUUUUCAAUUUACUUGUUAAACUUUAAGAAGUUUGACUUAAGACAAAGCUAUAAUAUAUUAUAUUUAAGAACAAAGGGAGUAUAUUACAUGCAUGAGUUUUUUAAAGAUAUUUAUGUGCUCAUAUUUUCCAGUUUUAAGCUAAAUAAGAAUUCUUUUAGAAAAAUAACAAUUAUUUGCAAAGUAUACAUCAAUCGAAUCAAAUAUAGUCAAAAGAUCACGAUAUAUAUAUGUACCACAUUGAGUAAGUGGCAAUCCAGAUAGGAUGAGUGGAUGACCACCAACUCGAAUUUUUAUAAAUGUGAAUAUAAAGAACUACUGCAGAACCAGAACCAAUCCUUCUGUGUGCUUUGUAGGUUGCUUUCCUUAAAUCAAGAAAAGGGUUUGUCAAGAUAGCUAUGCAGUCUGGCUGCCCUUUAGUCCCUGUUUUCUGCUUUGGACAGGUAACAUUUUAUUGUGUUCAUUGUAGCUUAAAUAUGUGCCACAAACACAAAAAAGCAUCGGCAUACGUUUAGGAUCAUGUCUCCACAAGAUCAACUGUAUUCUUAGAUUCUUAUUGCUUAAUAGUUGCUGAUUAUCUGUUACUGCCAUUUGGUUAGAGCUAUGCUUACAGGUGGUGGAGGCCAGGAGGCAAAUUGUUUGUUAACAUUGCUAGAGCACUUAAAUUUACUCCUAUUAUCUUCUGGGGAAGAUACGGGUAACUCCCUAUCAUAGUAUAUCCUAUCAUAGUAUCUUGUUUUUGGACCAGUUAAUUUAAAUAUGGAUAUAUAUAUGUUUAUUUUCAAUUUUGCUAUGUUGGUUCAAAUGAUUUUUUAUGGUCUACUGGAACAUCUGAAUGCAGGACACCGAUCGCUUUCUCGACACCCAUGCAUGUGGUUGUUGGUAGACCCAUUGAGCUCAAGAAAAAUCCUCUGCCUACCAUUGAUGAGGUGAAAACCCAUAUUGAUAUAACUGUUGUUCAGAAAAGAAUUGUAAAUCAAUUGAAAAUCUAGUAGAAAAAAAGGUUCUUUUAGAAAGAUGCUGAAACCACUACACAUAAAAGAAACUACUCAACAGAAGUCUUGAAAAACAACAUCCCCAGUUCAUAUCUGCUCAUGUUACCCUACCUCGCACAUAAAUCUAUGCUUCUUCUACUGAAAUUAAGCCCUCCUUAAAACGAAAGUGCUUUAAAAAAAUGACUUUCUCAACACCGGCAGUAGUAUUGUGCUAUGAUCUUAUUACCGAAAAAACAAGAUUGUGAAUUGCUCUACUCGUUUUCUGUUUUGAAAACAUGUUUCCCGCUGUCUGACAGAUAAAUGAAGUCCACGGACAAUUCCUCACUGCCUUGCAAGAACUAUUUGAGAAAUACAAGACGAAAACCGGAUAUCCGAGUCUCCAUCUAAGAGUCCUAUGAUGAGGUCGUUGAAAGCUCAAGUUUGGGGUUCAGCAAUCGUGGCUCUACGCUGUGCGGUCACAGUAGUUCAACGACGCUACUCGUUCAGGUUGCCGUGUGUUCGAUCAUUGUACGAAACUAUAGUGUGUUGUUGUACAACGGCCGAGUUCCAAGCUGUAGCUAGGGGCACCUGUUGAUGAUCAUAGGGCGCAUCCGAUGUAAAAGAAAUUGUCACUGGUUGCUCAUAAUUGCUAGUAUACCUUCACAGGAAAAUCUUGGGCCGGACUUUGCUUAGUUUGGAUGACUCUAAUUCUGCAACGCUUUGCAGGUGUAAGCAUACUAUCAAACUCGCACGUGGCGCCGAUAGUGAACAUGCUCGGAUGCUGUCGUUUGUUACUCCAACUUGAUAACCGCACAAUGAUCAAGAUAAGAUAUAUGGAAUAUAAGGUAGCGUUUGGUCACAAAGCAACGUGGAAUUAAAUAGAAUGUGGUUUUACUCUUAUAAAAAUUAAAUGCAAUGAAACAAUUCUACUUUCAUAUAUUCAAUACUAAACACCUAGAAACACCGGUUCCACUUAGAAUCAAAUGAUUCUCCAGUAUAUUGGGAGAAUAUUCCUCUUCGAGAAACCAUAUAAUUUGAUUCCAGUUAUUUAUAUAUUAGGAAUCAAAUGCAAGAAUCAAAUCUGAAAGGUUUCCACUACAUUACACCAUGUUCUAGCAACCAAACACUACCUAAUAGAACAGGAGAAAAUCCAAUUUUCAAGGAAACUAAACAUAUAAAAACCAACUGAUCCUCGAGCUGCUAUCACAAACUCGUCUCUUAAUCGUGCCAAACCUUGAGAAUCUUGCGUCACGUUUAACCCUAUAAAUCCUCAUUAGCCACACACGGCGAUUGAAUUUAUCAGCUUAAAACAUUUCAUGAUGCCCCUAAAACAUUUCAUGAUGCCCCUACGCCUACACGUGGCAAUGCAUUAUCCAUAUCUAUGACCUAUUAGGCUCCCACCAUCGUGGAUUAUCUCACUUACUACGUGGCAGUGACCCAAAAUCAUCACGCAGUAUGUCACAGGAUCCUUGCCGCUAGGCUCCACCAGUGAGUAGCAACAUCAAAACUAAACGGAGAUGCAAGAAUAAGUUAGUUGUAUAAUUAAACAAAACUAACCCUUUUUUACACACCCGUACACAGUUUACAUCAUCAGAGAGAUAAAAACAUCGCUGGUUCUUAAAACGUCUAUAUAGUUUACCUGAAAAAUAGUUUUGUUGUUUAGAUUUCCUCCAGGAAAAAUAGAUACCUUAAAAGAGUACCGUGUUUUAAAAAAAAUGAGUUCGUGCUGGAAUUUGAACAGAUAUUCAUCAUCUUCAUAGUUCAUCAUCAUAAAAAAGGACAUUCAUAAAUAAGUUCAUAAUUUUCAUACUAACUUAACCUAGCUAAACCUAAUGUGGCGUCGCCGGUGAGGUCAGCACCUCAGUUUAUGGGCUGUCUCAUCGUCGGCGGCGGAUUGGGGGCAGUUUCACGGACAACAUGCGGUGCCCUCUUUGCACACAACCUGUAAACUUUUACGGGUCAUAUAAGGAAUCCGCUAGAGAUGCUCUAACAUAACAUAUGGUACUCGCCGAACUACACAAAUCAUAUGCGCAUCUAACUCCAUCCUAUCGUCCUACAUGGCUAGUUUAUUAGAUAAAGCUCUUCUUCUUCAUAUACAAAAGAAAAAACUAAAAUACACCAAAAGAACAAUCUGUCUAUGCAUGAGGUUAAUUCGCUCACUAUUGUCGAGCGUUCCUCGAUUUUCUUGUUCAGAAGACUAUAAUUCAUUCCAGACAAGGUGUUGGCAGAGGGACCCUAUGUCCCCUUUGCUCUUUGAUCUAGCUGCUGAUGCCCUGGCUAUUUUGUUGGAAAAUGCUAAGAAGGCUGGGUUGGUUAGAGGUGUAAUUCCUGAACUAAUUGUGGGAGGGAUAAAUAUAUUAUAGUAUGCUGAUGAUACUGUAUUUAUGCUUCCCGAUGAUAUUGACAGUGCAAAGAAUCUGAAAUUUAUUCUUUGUGCUUUUGAACAAAUGUCAGGGUUAAAAGUUAACUUUCACAAUAGCGAACUGUAUUGUUUUGGGGAAGCUGCCUCCAAAUCAAAUACAUUGAGCAGUAUUUUUUCUUGUAAACAGGGGGAGCUUCCACUGACUUAUUUGGGUAUCCUAGUGGAUGCUAUCCGGAUUAGAAAUAAACACUGCAAAAGAAUUGAGAAUAAGGUGGAGAAUAGAUUAAGCUGCUGCCAAGGGAGGAUUUUAUCUGUGUGUGUGCGGGGGUGGGGGGGGGGGCGAUUAGUUCCUGUUUAAGUAGUAUCUCUCUCUAUAUGAUGUUUUUCUAUGAGCUUCCUGUAGGGGUUCGUAAGAGAAUUGAUUUCUAUCGUGCUAGGAUGCUUUGGCAAGAAGAGGAAGAGAUUAACAAUAUCACCUAGUGGCUUGGAAGAAGGUGUGCAUGCUUAAAGAACAGGGUGGGCUGAGCAUUUUAGACUUGGGUAUCAUGAACCAAGCUUUGUUGGGGACGUGGAUUUGGAAACUUUUUAAUACUAAUGGUUUAUGGCAGAGGGUGCUACAAGCUAGAUAUGUUGGGGAAAAUUGUCUUGGGAGUAUUAAGCAUAGAACUGGGGAUUUUAUGUUUUGGAGUGGCUUGCUACAUAGUAAGAAGAAAUUCCUGUCUUUGUGCAAGUUCUUUAUUGGGAAUGGCAGAAAAGUUAGAUUCUGGGAAGAUAGGUGGAUUGGGAAUACACCUUUGAAGUUGCAAUUCCCAAAUCUUUAUGAGAAUUGUUUCAGUUGCUAAUGUGGUUUCAAAGUAGGGGAGUAGUGUUUGCCUUAGGCGCACUUUGUGGGGGAGAUCUGUUUCUUGAUUGGCAGAAAAUUUUGAAUUCUUGUAAAAUGUGAAGCUUACUGAGAUUGAGGAUAAGCUUGGUGGAGAUUGACACCAAAUGGAAAACUCUCUGUUAGUUCUUUCUACAGAGAGUUGAUGUGGCAGAAUAUUGACUUUCCUCAAAAAUUUGUUUGGAAAAUUAAAAUUCCUCUAAAAAUAAGGAUCUUCCUUUGGUUGAUUACCCAUGGAAGUAUCCACACUAAAGAUGUGCUGCAGCAUAAAGGAUGUAAAGGAAACACUCAGUGUCACUUUUGUGAUCAACAGGAAACAAUAGACCAUUUGUUUCUGCACUGUCCUCUAGCUCACUUUCUGUAGGGGAUGGUGAGAUGCGCUUUUGAUUUGCCUAGUCUGCUAGAUACUGUCUCGUCGUUGUGGGAGACCUGGUUACUUCGUUUUCAUGGACAAAUGAAGAAGCUAGUGAUGGUUGGGUUGCGGGUCUGCUCUGAGUUACCUGGAAUAACAGAAACUACGAGUGCUUUCGUAAAGUGCAGUUAACUUGUCCAUUUGGGGUGGUGAAGCAACUGUGCUAUUGGCUGAACUUGUGGUCUCUAUUAUAGGCAAAGGAAGCAAACCAAAGUCUACUGCAAUGAGGGACAAGACUGGUUGAACAAGUUGCCAGAGAAGUGUUUGAGCCGUCAAGGGGAUGGCACCCUCUACGAUGACGUUUAGAAGACUGAGCAUCUCUGUGACUGUCACUUGUUGUUUGUCUCCAAAAAAAUUUGGAUAAAAUAAUGUUGGGUACUCUGCUGGAAGAAUUAGAAGUAGUGAGCGCUGCUUUGUACUGUAACUGUCAAGCUGCUAUCGUCUGGAUGUUGCAGCCUAUUUGCUUCUUUCUCUUGCUUUGCCAGUUUGAGAUCGCUGGCUAGUAACUAUUGUUCAAUUAGCUUUUUUUUUCUGAGUUUUCAACAGACGAACCUCGUAAUAUCGGCGGUUUCUAAUAGAAAAAUCGGACGGGACCCCUCUUUUUCAAAAAGAAAAACACUAAAAGGCAUUUUUUUUUUGAGGGAACACUAAAAGGCAUGUUAAUUUGUGGAGGAUUAAGAAAAAAAAACACCAAAAGGCAUGUUAGUUUGUGAAGGCAUGCUAGCGAUGACAAGUUCAACCACGUAGACCUCGGGCACGCAACGCCACCGUGCCCCAGCAACCACUGGUCCACUACCAAACCCGAAGCCGGCCUCCGCGCCACGCGUGCUGCUCGCUCACCCAGGCAGGCCACGCACGCCACGACCGCUCUACCACGACACGCCCGCACCGGAUUGACCCUGCGCCAAACAAAGGCCGCCGCACGGAGCGAAGGCAGGCGCCAUGCCCCCUCAGUUGCGCUUCCCCUCCGCCCUCCCCAACCUAUACCCUCACCUCCUCCUCCCCCGCUUCCUCCCCUUCCCCUCCCCUCCCUGCUCCUCUCGCCUUCUCCCCUUCACGCCGCCUCCCAGCCUCAGCAUCUCCAGGUCCCGCCGCCACCCGAUUCACCGCUUCCUGCCCCGAGGCAUGGCCACCGCAGCCGGCGAGGACGCACCGCCCUCCGGGACGAGCGGUUCCGGGGAGGGCGCUGUGCGGCCGCCGCGCCGCACGCUGGAGGAGCUCGCGUGGGACGAGACCUUCGUCCGCGAGCUGCCCGGCGACCCACGGUCCGACAACAUCCCCCGCCAGGUUCGCUCUCGCUCCCUGCCAGCUUCCUCUCGGUUUAAUUGCACGGUUAGCUUCUGUGGUUUCUAGUAUCAUGUCUCGCUAAAUGUUAAUCUGGGAGGAUUUCGCAGGUCUUGCACGCUUGUUACACCAAGGUGUCUCCCUCGGCGCCUGUGGACAACCCUAAGCUGGUGGCGUGGUCCGAGUCCGUGGCUGACCUCCUCGAUCUGGAUCACAAAGAGUGAGUUCCCAAUCCCAAUUACUUACUACAUUAGUUGUCUCACUAGCUUUUUCGACUAUGAUUUCUGCCGGGAAAAUACUCCUGAGAGCAUUGUGGCACCCCCCCUCUGUUGAGUGGUAACCAGCUAGAUAAAACGUGAAGAUGUGCAUACGAUUUUUCCUUUUACAAAUGUGUGCAAGUUGCGGUGAACUCCUGUUGUUACGCUUCAUAGCUAACAAGCUAUAUAGAUAUUCCACUCAUCAUGUGCAGAACUGUUGCAAAGAAUUAGCAUCAUAGAAUUUUGUUAUAUGAUGCACAGAUGAAUGAAAAUGUAGCAUGUAAUAAUAGUUUAGCCUACAACAACGCUAUUCUGUGUAGUAGUUAGAUUGUGUAUUAAUUCCUAUCUUCAGUUGGUAAAGGUGACAAUUCCAAGCAGUUCUCAAAAUUGAGAGUUACAGUAAAUUUUUCCAGAAUGAGCUUACCUCUAAAGAGCUGUAUUUUAUUUAUUUAUGAAGCAAAUGGUUGGCUUAUUUCUCAGGAGUCAAAAAGCCUUUGUUCAGACAUAAACUCACUCCUGUUCCCUGCAUUUCUGAAGUUCUGCACUAAGAAAUUCACCAUCACAAACAUGGGUGUUAAUGGCUCUAGGGCCUGUACGGGGUGACCCUGGACCCAAGAGGCGGCAGCUCCAUGAAGGUAGCCGCACCUCAAGGGCAAGGAUGAAAUGUAUGGGAUAAUUAGAUUUAUUUAUUCUUGACUUGCCUCAUAACGAUUACAGGGGAGCCUUUUAUAGGGGAUACUCGACUUGACAUCCAAGAAACUGAUCUCCACUUCCCUAACAAACCAUAUCUAUUUGUUCCUUGUUUAUUUCUUGCCUAACUAAUUUAGAAGAUACCACUGGGAUAUUGUCCCUUAUUUGGAUACCUAGGGUUGCAAAGGCGUUCUGCAAGGGGCUGCUGCAGGUUGCGCUACCGCCACGGCUGGCUUUAGUUGCUUCUCCCAUAGGGGCAGCGACGGUGAAACCUGCUGCAACGGUGAAGGCAAUGGUGAAGGAGAUGGAAACACCAGCGGCGCUGCAGCUUGUUGGGACGUAGUUGUUGGUGUGGUUGCUUUUCGUUGCUCCACCCUCACAAGGAUGUUGGCACAGAUUACUUGUAAUCUGUCGAGUGUAGCUUCAACCUUGGCCAAAGGAGAGAGCUCCGUGGCAUCAGGAGUAGUGGAGAUUGACUGCUCUGAUAACUAGGUUCAUGCUAGUUCAUGACAUGGAAGAUAAUGGCUCUAGGGCCUGUCCGGAGUGGCCCAGGACCCAAGAGACGCGGCAGCUCCAUGAAGGUAGCCGCACCUCAAGGGCAGGGAGGAAGUGGACGGGAUAAUUAGAUGGAUUUACUCUGACUUGCCUCAUAACGAUUACAGGGCCCCCCUUUGUAUAGGGAACAAAUCCAAGAAACUAAUCUCCAAUUUCCUAACAAACCAUAUCUAAAUAUUCCUAACUUAUCUCUUGCCUAACUAAUUUAGAAGAUACUACUGGGAUAUCCUCCCUUACUUGGAAGCUAGGGUUGCGCCCCCUAUAGGGAUGUACGCCCAUGAUAAAAAAGGGUUAUUGACAAGUUAGUUAACUUAAACAAACCAGAUUGUUUUUAACUAGGUGUUGACAGGAGCCCAAUUUUUUGUCAGAUAAUCCAGUUCAUUACGUAUGCCAUACAUAAAUCUUAUUUUCGUUCAACAUGGAAUACAUUUUUCUUUACUUCCAUACCACAUGAAAAGUGAUCUCACGUUGUGCGUUGCUUUGUUUGCUCCGAAUGCUCAAACUGGUUAUGAAAAAAAAAUUGUACUCCCUCCGUCCGAAAAUAAGUGACUUGCAUUCUUAUACAAAUUCAUGUCACUUGUUUCCGGAUGGAGGGAGUAGUUAAAUGAUUCCAUAGAAGAAAAAAAAUUUAAAUGUGCCUCGACAAAGGAUAGAAUUAAGUUGAGUGAUACAUAUUUAUGGGUUUUACCUUCUGCUGGCUCUCAUCCAUCUCUUUCUGCGUAGAAAUGUGCUCAUUGAACUCACUGUCCAAUGGUAUCCAGUGCUCAUUAACAUUUUUUGUUUCCUUGCUGAUAUUGGAUGAAGAUCACAAUGGCCCUCUGUUUGUUUUCAGAUUUGAAAGACCUGAUUUUCCCCAGUUCUUCUCAGGAGCAACUCCGUUGGUGGGAAGGUGCGUUACACCCAUGCCUAAUAUCUUGCUUUCUGGUUUUGUUCAGAAUAAGUAAUCAACCUCUAAUGAUCAACCACCUGCAGUGUGCCCUAUGCCCAGUGUUAUGGUGGACACCAAUUUGGUUCGUGGGCUGGUCAGUUGGGGGAUGGACGAGCAGUAACUCUGGGAGAGGUUCUCAAUUCUCGAGGUGAGAGAUGGGAGUUGCAGCUCAAGGGUGCUGGGAAGACUCCCUACAGCCGUUUUGCAGACGGCCUUGCUGUCCUGCGCAGCAGCAUCCGUGAAUUCUUAUGCAGUGAAGCUAUGCAUGGUCUAGGCAUUCCUACAACUCGUGCUCUUUGUCUAGUUGAAACUGGCAAAUCUGUUGUGCGAGAUAUGUUCUACGAGUAUGUCAUGAUAUCUUCAGUUUCUAAUCUAUUCAGUUUCUAAUCUACUUUUACCAUUGAGUUCCCCUAUUUAAAUGACCCAUAGGCCAUAGCUGCUGCUUGGUGUUACUUCAGUUUUUAUUGGUAGCUACAUAAUCCAUGUGAACAUCAACAAAUAUAGGGCUCCUUUGAUUCAAAGGAUUUUCAUAGGAAUUUUGGAGGAUUUGAAUCCUUAGGAUUUUUUUCCCAUAUGGGUUGUUUGAUUUGUAGGAUUGAACCCCAUGGGAAAGUUUCCUAAGGAUUCCGUUGCACUACAUUUCAUAGGAUUUUUUCCAUCCACUCCAACCUCCUUUUCAAAUUCCUUUGUUUUUCCUGUGUUCAAUCAAACAAACAUUUGUCUAACCACAAUCCUGCAGGAUUCGAAUGGGUAUGACAUUGCAAUCCUAUGAUUUCCUAUUCCUAUAUUUUUCCUAUCCUGUGAAUCAAAGAGGCCCAUAUAGUUUUAUAAGGGUAUGUUUCAUUCUUGCCCAAAUUUGCCUUACCAAAAUUGCAGAACCUAUGCUUAUUUGGUAUUUGCUUGGUUGGUUACUUGAUUGCCAAAAUUUUGGUUGCCUGUGGAAUCUAGUCCACAACCUCACAUUACCCUCACAAUUCUCACCAAACUUUUGGCCAACCAAGGGCCAAGGAAACAUUAACCAAUUUUUUGGCUGGCCAAUGGUUAGCACAAAUUGGUAGGGCAUUAAUUGGCACAAACCAAGCAUACCCUAACUCCCAUUUUCCUUCUGUUUGCCUAUUUAUAGUUUCCUUAACCAAUAAUUACUUCAUCUAGUCAUCCUGAUUUAUGAUCAUCCAUUGGAGGUCUCAGGGUUACUCUAACAAACUACAGCCUCUGGGACCUUGGACAAGUUACUUGAUUGUUCUGCAAAUGUAGCCAAGCAUCCUGUACCUACUUUCAUCAGUGUUUACUGUGCUGUAGAAAAUAAUUGGCUGUUAUUCCUCCAGUAUUUAUUAUCCAAAUAUAGAAAACUAGAACAUCGUGCCAUGAUCUUUCUUUUGACGGGUUUCAGUAUGUACACUUUAUGGACAUCCCUUCUGUUGUUAAAUGAUUUGUAUUUUAAUAUGACAGUGGGAAUUCAAAAGAGGAGCCUGGUGCAAUUGUUUGUCGUGUAGCACCGUCGUUUUUACGUUUUGGUUCAUACCAAAUACAUGCUACAAGGGGCAAAGAGGACCUUGAAAUUGUUCGUCAUUUGGUAGAUUACACAAUACGUCAUCACUACCCACAUCUUGAAAGUAUUAAAAAGAGUGAAGGUUUAUCUUUCGAGGCAGCUAUAGGAGAUUCUCCAGCAAUAGAUCUUACGUCCAACAAAUAUGCAGGUAAAUUUCUUGAAUGUCAGCUUCUUUGAAUAUCCUUAUUGAUCUAGUUAAUAACGAUCUUCCCCCUUUGCAAUUCCUGAUAACAGCCUGGGCAGUUGAGGUUGCAGAGCGCACUGCUUACUUAAUUGCCAGGUGGCAAGGUGUUGGUUUCACUCAUGGUGUACUCAACACUGAUAAUAUGAGUGUGCUGGGCCUAACUAUUGAUUAUGGACCCUUUGGUUUCUUGGAUGCUUUUGAUCCUAGCUUUACUCCGAAUACCACUGAUCUCCCUGGGAAGAGAUACUGUUUCGCAAAUCAACCUGAUGUUGGCUUGUGGAAUAUUGCUCAGUUCACUGGGCCCCUGUCAUCUGCUGGACUUAUCAACAAAGAUGAGGCAAAUUAUGUAAUGGAGAGGUGAAUUUGUUCUUCCAAUCUAUACAGGUUAUGUGUGAUACUAAACCCUUUAUGAUGGCAUUCUGAUACUUCUAUAUUGUAGGUAUGGGACAAAAUUCAUGGAUGAAUACCAAUCUAUAAUGACAAGGAAACUUGGUCUAUCUAAAUAUAAUAAGCAGCUUAUUAGCAAGCUGCUUAACAACUUGGCUGUUGAUAAGGUUGACUACACAAAUUUUUUCCGUCUUCUUUCGAAUGUCAAAGCAGAUCCUGACAUUCCAGAGAAUGAGCUACUUGUUCCAAUAAAGGCUGCACUCCUAGAUAUUGGAAAAGAAAGAAAGGAAGCAUGGAUUAGCUGGGUACAGACAUAUAUUGAGGAGGUAUGAUAUCUUCUGCUAAUUGUUAUCUUUCUCUAUUGUAUUUUAUAAGUGACUGUCUAGAGUGACUUGAUGAUACAUCGACCAUAAUAUCAUCAUCCUUUAAUCUUCUGGUGCCUAGCUGCUUGUUUCUCAGCCCCUGCCAUUUGUGAUGUUGGAAUACUUUUUCAAAAAUACAAGCUAGAGUACUUUUUGUAAGCGAAAGCAACAUUAUAAGGCAUUGUGUUCUCUGGGUACAGGUGCAAAAAGGUGAGGAUACCGUCCAACCCUUCUUAGUUCAAGCAAAUGGAUUAAAAUUUUAAAAUCACAUCAGUUUUGUGUAAAACUAGUUCAUUUGUUUGAGCUAAGGAGGGUUGGAGGCGCAGGGUCAUCUUUUUGCACCUCUUAUCUCCAGGAUUUAUAUCAGCAUCUGCGCAUUUUGUGGUACCAUAUGAAAACUGCAUUUGAUGCUAUGUACUGAAAUCUCGUCAUUUUGGUCUUGUAUCAUAUGUCAUCGAAGUUGUCACCUGCAUGGCCGCAGCUCAAAGAAGAUUUUAUUAUUAGCUGCCUCCUGUUCCUGUUGCCACACAGUUGCCAGCAAUCCCACUAUUCAAUAAUUUUGUGCCAUUAUUUUGUUUCCACCUCUAGCCAUGUUUUAUUAUUAGUUUUAAAAUAUCUGUCGAAUUAUUCAUUAAAGUACCAACAUACUGUUUAGAGAGGAGUAUCUGUUAUCUGAACAUACUCAAUUUAAUGAUGUGUCUGCUUUGUGAAGCUGGUGGCUAGUGGCAUCUCUGAUGAAGAAAGGAAAACUUCAAUGAAUCAAGUCAAUCCGAAGUAUGUUCUUCGGAACUAUCUCUGCCAGACUGCGAUUGAUGCGGCCGAUCUAGGUGAUUAUGAGGAAGUUCGUCGCCUAUUGAAAGUUAUGGAACGUCCAUAUGAUGAGCAGCCAGGAAUGGAAAAAUAUGCCAGGUUGCCGCCAGCCUGGGCAUAUAGGCCUGGAGUGUGUAUGCUGUCUUGCUCUUCAUAAACCCAACACCCAGCUAUGGAAAUACAGUGUUGUAUAAUUUUUGGCUGUAUAUGAGGUUCACCUGUAAGCUGUAGUGUUUGAAGCACCACAUGUUUUACUGAUGUGGGGCAAUCUCAGAACUUUAGUUGUGAUGUUACUUUACAGAGUUAUAUGCGCAUUUAGGAAAUGGAGCAAUCGGCCGCCCCUUAUUCGUAAUUUUUUAAAUAUCAGGCAUAUGCUGUCGAGAUACUUUAAACUGACGAGAUAGUACCCUGUCGAUCUUGUUCUAUCCAGCAAGACGAAGGUGAUAGGUCCAAAUCGUUCAAUAGUGUGUAAUUGCGCUGCAAUAGGCACAACAGACCGUCUUGUAAAUAGAUUCAUUUACACGGGACGGUCCUCAUGAUUUCCACCUCCCGGAACCGAGCCGCAAGCAGCAUCCGCCAGGGGUCAUUCUGGUUGAUCGGGUGAGAAUGAAAAGUGGGAAAGCUAAAAAAGCUUAAAAAAAUGUACUACCUUCGUUCCAUAAAGAUUGGCGUCGCUUUUGAACCGUACGAUUUAGGAGAUUGGCGUGGCUUUUGAAUUAGGAGAUUGGCGUCGCUUUUGAACAGUACGAUUUAGGAGAUUGGCGUGGCUUUUGAAUUAGUAUGAUUUAGGAUGGAGUUUGAGAGAAAAGGUGUCGUAGUUGAUUCGGUAAAAGUGUAGAACUUACUAACCCACACAAAGGAAGUCCUAGCCCGGCUAGGAAAUGGUCGAGCAGGGCUGAGCCCAGAUGCGACGACCCCGAGGUAAGGUGACCAAAUGGAUAUAACCUAGUUUUAGACGCCUUUGCGAAGUGACCGUGUUGGCACCAGACAUUGGCCACUCGCCACCAUAUAAUAGCAGUCGCCACCAUAUAAUAGCAGGGAAUGAUGCGAGGGUGGCUCCACUUCACGAAAUAGGAUCUGCACGAGCACGAAAAUUAGCGCCACCUAAGAAAUACGGUGAUGGACACCGACUCCAACCAACGAGGCUCUUGGAUACCUAGCUGUGAACAGCGAUAGUGCAAUCUGCAACAAGUAUUUGACCAACCACAAAGUUUCCAAUCCACACAACCGUACACACGAAGAGGAUGCCGUCGAACGACCGCUUCUGCAAUCUCACAAGGUCAGUUGGAGCAAAGGGAUAGAGAACUCUCAAACAUGAUUUGAGUUGCUCAUAACUAACCUAUUCUACAAUUUACCAAAGAGUUUGUGGCUGAGAUGGGUUAAGGGGUAUUUAUAAUAUGAACAACGCUCCUACUUUAGGUGUGAAAUCAGUCCAAAAUGGGAGCUCAAAUGGGUGGCAAUCAGGUUGGAGUGCGGCCAAAGACAUGGAAUCACACGCAACAAUUAAUGUCCUUGACAGGUUGCAUUGUAACUCUCAUAUCUUUUGAUCAAAUGACGUGCCGUUUGAUUUCCUGAAAGUAGACUUCAUAUGUUGUCCACUUGACCCACCAAAUGUGCUUGACACAUCCAUAAUCACUGUGGCAUGGUGCAAUAAGGUCAGAAAUGAUUUUUGGUGCUUGCAUCGUUUUGAUGAUUUUUCUUUUUGACCCGAAAAAUAGCAGGAGAGGCUCCUACCGUGCUUAAUUAAAUAAAAAAAAAUAUAGUUACAAAGUUACGUGGGCUAUAAAGAUCAUCCCAACAGGGGCUGAAAAGAAGAAUUUCUGACUUCACCUGAGCACAAGUAGCACACUAGAUUUAGAUUAGCAUAAAUUCUCAUUGAUGUUAUUAUUACGAUCAGCAAGGAGCGAAUUCGUCUCUUGUUGUAUUUUCUUAACAUGGCUCCUUGUCAUAGGUCUUCUUUGUAGAUGUUUCAACCUUUAGUCGUGAUUCUUCGUGAGGAGAACAUGAUAGAACGAGAUGAACCAAGAAUGUCCUCAAAAGUCCAAAGGUUAAAAGGAGACUGCGGGGGCAAACAUGGAAGGAUGGUGAAACACCAAGCAGUAUCUCUGGUCUUUACUUACCUAUAGGGUAUUGUAGUGGGAACGAUAACCAAGGAGGUGCUUGCCGGUUUGCCCGCUUUGCUCGGAAGGACGUUUCAACAAGCCGGGACAAAAAGAUUUGCGGGUAUAUAUGCUAGUCGCGAGCUUAACUCGGGCUGACCAUUAGGCUACCUGAAGAGACAUACCUUGCGCGACAUGAAGUACUACGAGGAUGCAUCGAAAUAACCGUCAUCCCGUGCAUAUAAAUGCUGGGCAGGCCGCAGGGGUCCGCAAGAAGAGGAGAGUAAUCAAGCUAUUCCAAAGCCUACAAUUUACAGCAAAUCCAAACCCGGCAAGUCCAGCUACCUCAUAUUGUGAACACAUUUGUGCUCCGAGUUCCUGAUAAUAUAAAAAAGGUAGAAGAGGGCUAUUAUCCAAUCUAAGUGGGCCUGAAACCUGGGUAAAUCAUGUUGCAUCUACUCGGCACCUGAGGUUUCUCACACAUUCAGACAAAUUAUGUAUGAGGACCGUACCGUAACAAGAAAGCAAUAUUUCAUUCGUCGAAGGCUCUGCCCGCCCCCCCACCCCCCAAGACCAAAGUUCAUAAUUUUGCCCACUACCUCCGUCCCUGCUAGUUGACAUCUGGACCGUAUUUAAGGUUUUUGUUGAUUUUAUCGUUGCCAUGUAAGAUUCAUGUUCCGGUAUAUAAGAGGUUUAUCAUACAAUUCCGAAGACUUAAAAUGUGAACUAGUAUGCUGUCCUGUAACUCACAAUGCAGAGACGUUACUGAAAGCAGAGAAUGACCGAGGCAACUUUCACCUCGAUCACCAAUCAUCACGCAAGUCUAACUACAGACCAAUUUAGUUUUGAUACAGAUUAUAUUGAUGCAUUCAAAACAGUAGCCGCUACUUAAGCUUUACACAUUACAAAGGCUGCCGGCCGGAGAUCGAGCCGACGUUGUUGUACAGUUUCCCUGCACACGCACGGAGGCGUACGUGCAGGCAGGAUAAUGAACCAAUCACUUGAUCAGCUUCUCCCUCUCAUCUCUCUCUGAACUUAGCUCAAGGGCCAUAGAUGUUCCUAGGAACGACGAUGUCGCCGAUGUUGUUGUGCCACGGGUCCGCCAGGUGCGCGCCCAGGUUCUCCAGCGGGCCGGUGCCGGGGUACGCCGACUGCUGCACGCAGAAGCCCACGAACGCCAGCAUCGCCAGCCGCCCUGCAUCAUCAUCAGAGACAAGAUCAUACUACAUCAGCACCGAACGCUACACGCACUGCAGAUGGUUAAGAUUCAGGGGAUGGCACGUACCGUUCUUGAUCUCCUUGAGCUUGAGCUCCUCGAACUUGGCCGGGUCCUUGGAGAAUCCCAGCGGGUCGAAGGCGCCGCCGGGGUACUUCUUCUUCUCCGGGUCCUUCUCCAUGGUGCGCUGCUGCUCCGCGAAGGCGAUGGCCAGGAACUCGAUGGCCAGGAUGGUCGGCAGGUUGCCCCACGGCACGGGCACGCCGAAGUAGGUCGCCUGCCCGUCGGGGAGCGCCGCCCAUUCCUGCGCCUUCACCCAGUUCCCCAGCCCCAGCGCCUCCGGCACCAACACCCCUGGCUGCACGCCAACACGCACGGUUUAUCACUAGCGAACAGCUUGAAAAGUGAUGCAGAGGAGAGCAGAGGAGCACGGUUACGUACCACGCAGAGCAUGGCCCAGCGGCAGUGGUAGAUCUCGGACUCCUUGAACCGCUCGAAGUUCUCCGGUACGGUGGCGAGGCCGAGGGGGUCGAACCCGAAGUCGCUGAGAGUUAACAAAGGCAAGAGUUAAUCACCGGUCAGAUAUACCCCUCCGUCUCACCGUCUCAUGUCAAGUGAAUUUCUAUUGCAUGUAUCUGUGUAGAUACAUUUGGACAAAUUUAAGUCACUUAAUAUGGGACACAGCGAGUACAUGUUUUGGAUUUAGUAUGGCAAAUGGAUGCUUACCCGGGCGAGGAGCCGUCGAGGUGGGCAGGGCGGGGCUGGCCGGGGAACCACUCGGCGGACAUGGUGACCCGGCCGGAGGUGGUGGCGAAGGCGCAGAACGGCAGGCCCGAGCGGCCGGACCGGGACGAAGGCGCCAGCAGGCUGGGCACGCCCACGGCGCUGCAGCUCCUCAGCCCGCUCGACGACGCCAUCGACAUUGCUGCUAGCUCGAUGCUACCCAGUUAGUUUCAGUUCUUGCUGCGCUCUCCGGCAACAACAACAAGAAGAGGGGAGGAUCAGGCGUCC
rnacentral:lncRNA from 1 species